rnacentral:lncRNA from 1 species
CUCUCUCUCUCUCUCUCUCUUCCAUUUUGUGCUGCUCAAACCCUAACAUUGGCUCUCUCACUAAAUCCUGGUAGAUCGCUAUGUUUGUCCUUUUAAUCUUUGAAUUCGGAUUCAGAUCUGUAAUUUGUACGGCUUGUUUGUGUAUGUGUUUGUUAGGGUGAGAUCUUAACUGGGUUUGCUUAUUGGUCGUAUUGUUGCUGUUUUUGUCUUAUGGGUACCUACGAUAGCGCUUAUAUUGGCGAAUUGGGACUUGCAAUGGUGAUUUUAAUAUAGGGUUUUGGUAUUAUGAUAAUGGGUUCCAGGGGCCUCAAGGAAAUCGAUGACGAAAUUUGUGUACGUUGGGGUUUAUGCUUGCAUUUGAGUAGAUUUGCGCAUGGAUGCCUUUAGCAUAGAGAAAGACUAGCUUCUCGAAAGUGCAGAUCUUGGAACUUGAAAACUACUUUGUAUAGAUAGCUAAUAUCGCAAUGCAUCUAUAACACUGAAAAUUACAUAUGAAUGCGAUCCAGCUCCACCAAAAACAGGUUGCAAGUCAAUCUGCAAUCGUAACACAAGAAGCUUGCCUUACCAUGUCAAAAAAAAAAAAAAAAAAAAAAAAAACUUUAUGAGUGCUAAUGUACCGUACAUCUAUCCAUAAGUCGGGUACCCGUAUUCAUUCAACGAACUCAUAUAGUGUGGGAUAUGUUAGCAGCUGUAAUGAUUUUGGUUGAUACUUGUAAAUAGAUCUACUUGAGAGGUCUUAGCUAGUUUUGCUAGUUGGUGGAUUUCUUAUCCACUAUUUUGUAAUUCAUGCUAUUGUUUUAAUAAAUUGUUACCGUUUAUUCUCAAAAAAGAAAAAAAGGUUGCUUUGAAAACACACUAAGGUGGAGGCAUCCUGAUGCUCUAAUGAAGCAUUUACAGAUGGCUGAUUGCAUUGAAUUAUAGAUGUAAAAGACGUUAGGAUGAAGCCUUUUUCUGUAAUCAUCACGUGUUAACUAGACUUUCACAUACACUGUCAUUCUGUCAUCUGUAUUAUUAAUCUAACUUCAAACCAUUUGUUGACUAGUUCUAAUUUCACACUUUCCUGUGCUGCUAGGAUAAUUGAUCUUGGAUUGAUCCAUGCUUGAUCUAAUUAUAAAUUAUGUCUAAAUGUUCUAAUGCUCCCUUGCUUUCGUUUGCAGUAUAAAACAGAAGAAUCAGUUACCCUUUGGGUGAAUAAAGUUGGGCCCUACAAUAAUCCACAAGAAACAUACAAUUACUACAGUCUUCCUUUCUGUCAUCAAUCUGAAAAUGCUGCUCACAAAUGGGGUGGUCUUGGUGAAGUCCUGGGUGGAAAUGAGCUGAUUGAUAGCCAGAUUGAGAUAAAGUUUCAAAGUAUGUGGACUUCCAUGCUCUGCUAUAAUUUUUGUUGAUGGAUUGUGGUAUUUAAUUGCAACUUGAUUUGUUUCAUUUCUCUGUUCAGAAAAUGUGGACAGGGCUACCAUUUGCCAACUUGAACUUGACGAUCAAAAGGUUAAACACUUCAAGGAUGCAAUCGAGAAUAACUACUGGUUUGAAUUUUUCAUGGGUAUGUUUUACAUAAAAUUAUUUAAUACAAUAUAUAUAGACAGUAUGAAAUAUUUGUUUAGAUUAAAUCGAUGUAUGGUGUUUCUAGAUGCAUAAAAAGUUUUUGUUGGAUGUCCUGAGUUAACAUUCCAAAAUACUUUUUGUUAAAAAAAAAAAAAAAUCCAACAUACUUAUGGACUUUUGAUUUACAAAAUCGGUACUUUUAUUGGUAUUUAGUAUGCAUUUUUUUUUCUGGGGGAGUCGGUGGUGCGUUGGUUCCAUUGUUAUGACAUCAUUGCAUUCCUGGAUAUACAAUGUUAUGGCAAGUGUGAAAGAUGAAUCAUACUUAUCUAGUGCAUGGGAGAGAGUGAUUUAGGAAGCAAAGAGUAUGGCAGAAUUAUCUUUAAAUCAAUAUUAAGAACAUUUCUCAUGCUUAUGUUUGGACAAUAAUAUUGCUGAUGCAAUAAAAAUAUGUACUUGUAUGUUUUCUUAGUCAUAUAAGAUAGUUAAGCAAACGUGUGUUGUGACUGACAAGUCCAUGCCUCAUGACCUACAGUCUAAUUGUUGCCAAAUUCAAUAUAACCUUACAACACACGGAACUUGAGGAAACUUGAUGCUUAACUACAAGAAAUUUGUGUUAAUUACAUUUUCAUGAACAGUAUUAUAGAGUCUAUACACGUAGGAAAUGCUCACAAUUAUCUGAAAAGUAGCUUUAUUAUGUGUUUGGGAAUCUAGAUCUUUGUGGGGAUCUAUUGCAAGGGUUUAUUUUCUCUAUGUUUUGUGGUCAAUUCGUUUGGGGCAUUCACUGAUCCUAUAUUUUGUAUCUUUAACAUAUUAUCUUCCCUGGACGUUGCUGUGCUGGAUGCAUGUUCAGAUGAUCUGCCUUUAUGGGGUAUGCAUCAUACUCAUUCCUUCAAAUUUUGAGCUCACGUUUAUGUUAUCAUCCUAUUAAAUUGAUCUUCAUCGUCUCAUGACGUUCUAGGCUUUGUUGGUGAGUUGCACCCGGACAAGAACAGUGAAAAUGGCAAGCAUGUCCUUUACACGCAUAAAAAUAUUAUUGUUAAAUACAAUAAAGAUCAGGUUUGUGAUUCUCCAUAUCAGAUGUGGCUUUAAUAGUGGGCUUGAGGAUCUAUGAUAUUCAUUAUAGUUUAUAAUUUUGUAGAUCAUUCAUGUGAAUCUCACUCAAGAUAGUCCAAAGCCGUUGGAAGCAGGGAAGAAAUUGGACCUAACUUACUCUGUCAAAUGGAUUGCAACCACUAUCACAUUUGCACGUCGAUUUGAUGUCUAUUUGGACUACCCUUUUUUUGAGCACCAAGUAAUAACUGAUUAUGUGUUUAUAUGUUAACUUAUUUUUAUUUCUGACGCUGACAGCAUAUUAUUCUAAAUUCAGGAGAAUUAAGUCUGCAAGGGAUUUUAACAUUGGCUGCUUAAUAAUGCUUUUUUCUUUUUGGUUUUUUAAUGAGCUGUAUGACCAUUUUGCAAUUUGCAGAUACAUUGGUUCUCGAUUUUCAAUUCAUUCAUGAUGGUUAUUUUCCUUACUGGUUUGGUGUCAAUGAUAUUGAUGCGGACUCUUAGGAAUGACUAUGCAAAGUAUGCUCGGGAAGACGACGAUCUGGAGACUCUGGUAUGAUCUAAUGAUUUUAAUCAUAUCAUCCUUCUUUUAGAUGUUUUGUUAUUUUUCUUAUGUGACGUAGAUAGAGAUACAAUAGAUACCGUCCUUGUGUGGUGACUGGUAACCCUUUUGAAAAUGUGCCUAUUGUAGGAAAGAGAUGUCAGUGAAGAGUCUGGGUGGAAACUUGUGCAUGGGGAUGUUUUUCGGCCUUCUCGAAAUUUGGUUAUUCUUUCAGCCGUUGUUGGCACGGGCGCUCAGCUAGCGUUGCUUGUUCUUCUCGUCAUCUUACUGGCAAUUGUUGGGAUGUUGUAUGUUGGGUAUGUUGACUACUUGCUCAAAAGUACUUGGGAUGCUAUUUUGGGUUUUCCACUUUCCUAGUUUUUUUAUUUAAAUAUUUUUUUAUGAUUUUCGAAAUGUUUAUGUUUGAAUCAUAAAUAUAUAAGUCUUGCAUACUUAUAUGUUGGUGUAAUUAAUAUUAGGCCAGCGAUGCAACACCACACAUUAAUCUUUCCCUGUCUUAGCUCUUAGCUUGUUAUCUGAUUUUGCAUGCUAAAUAGUUAAUUACUAUUUGUGUACCUGGGAAGAAUUGCUAGAACUUUAAUAGAGUAUUAUGUCUUACAUCAUUUUUUAUUUGGUGUCUCAGGAGAGGUGCAAUUGUUACAACUUUCAUAGUGUGUUACGCCCUUACAUCUUUCAUUUCUGGUUAUGUAAGUGGUGGGAUGUAUUCAAGACAUGGUGGUACGUAUUUAAUUUAAUUCAUAUGAUAGAUAUGGUAUUCAUUCUGUUUAAGCCUUCUAACAAAUCACAACAACCUUUGUUUGGAUAUUUCUGAGCUUGUGUUAUUUCUGAAAUAUUAUUCGUUGUUUUAUCAGGUAAAAAUUGGAUAAAGUCAAUGAUACUCACAGCAUCUCUAUUUCCAUUUAUGUGCUUUGGGAUUGGGUUCAUCUUGAACACAAUUGCUAUAUUUUACGGGUCACUGGCUGCUAUUCCUUUUGGUACAAUGGUGGUUGUUUUUGUGAUUUGGGCAUUCAUCUCUUUUCCUCUAGCACUUCUUGGUACAGUUGUUGGAAGAAACUGGAGUGGUGCUCCUAACAAUCCUUGUCGUGUGAAAACCAUUCCUCGUCCUAUUCCUGAGAAGAAAUGGUAUUUAACCCCAUCUGUAGUCUCAUUGAUGGGAGGACUUCUGCCCUUUGGAAGCAUAUUUAUCGAAAUGUAUUUUGUCUUCACAUCCUUCUGGAAUUACAAGGUGAAAUUUCGAUAACUAUGUGCUUUUUAUAGUAUAGACUUGCUGAUUAAUAGAUCUGAGUACCAAAUAACGUUACAAACAUUGGCAGUGCAUGCCAUUCCUUAGACAAAGUUACACUUACAAUAGUUGGUCAUUAUGAGACCAAGCUUGUGAAAAUUGUAGAAGUCACGAAUUUCAUUAGCUGAAUUUUAUGUCUUGAAAGCAAUGAUAGGAAUCAUUUGUUCGUGAAAGACUCAGUGAAGUUCUGUUACAGCACAUAUGAGAAGAUUCUAUAUUGUUGAGAAAGUUGUUAGUCUAUUGUGGCAAAAGUGCAUGAUUGUCGUUGAGUGUUGACGGUGAUUACCAUGAAUGCUAACGUAUUUCUUCGUCUUUGUGUCUUAACAGGUGUAUUAUGUCUAUGGCUUUAUGCUGCUUGUUUUUCUGAUUCUCAUCAUUGUUACUGUGUGCGUGACAAUUGUGGGGACAUACUUCUUGCUUAAUGCUGAGAACUACCACUGGCAAUGGACUUCUUUCUUUUCUGCUGCAUCAACAGCUGUCUACGUGUACUUGUAUUCUAUAUAUUACUACUAUGCAAAGACCAAGAUGUCGGGUUUCUUCCAGACCAGCUUCUAUUUUGGAUACACUUUGAUGUUUUGCCUUGGCUUAGGAAUCCUUUGCGGUGAGUUUUCUCUUAUACACUAACUUGACUUUUAUUUCCACAUCAAGGAUUUAUAGAUGUCAAUUUUUUUGUUCUCGACUCUUCCCACCCAACCAGCAUGGCAGCUGAAAAGUAGCCACUUCAAGGAUUUGUAGAUGUCAAAUUUUUUUUUUUUGCUCAACUCUUGCUCCCACCCAACCAGCAUGGCAGCUGGAAAGUAGGCUAUCAUGUUGUUGGCCUAUGUAUUUAAAGGCGUUUUUACAGUGGUCAUUACUUUGUUGAACCAUAUGCUUGACCUGAGCAUUAGUUGCCUAGUUACUAAGAAGAAAUGUUUCUUCCUGAGUGCCAUAUUCUCCCACGCCUCUUGAUUAUAAACGCUAGAAAAGUAAAAAGUGCCAGAAAAAUGUUUUAAUCUGUGUUUCAUUUGUUUCCUUUUUUGAAUGUGCAGGAGCUGUUGGAUAUCUGGGUUCUAAUUUGUUUGUAAGGAGGAUCUACAGAAACAUCAAGUGCGACUAGAGCAUCUCCGCGAGGAAAUGGACCUGAUGGAGAUUCUCUGAGUAGAUUGGCCGUUGUUGAGGUACGUGGUCAGGGAUGGGGAUCCAGUAACCACUAGAGACUGAAAUCACAGGGUUUGAGGACAGGGAUGUAUUCUUCUCUGGACUCGGUAAAGCCCUGAGAUUUUUUUGUUUUCCCCGGCUGUAAGUGAAAGCCUUAAUUUUAGAUGCAGAGAUUGUUUUAUAAUCUAAGUUAGCGGAUGUCGAACUCCUGUUAUUUCAUUAUUUUCUUUUUUUUCGACCUUUCACAAAUAGGUGCCCCGUUACUCUCCGUCUCCGAAAACGAACCUUUGAUUCUGAGUUAUGUAACGACUUGUGAAUUUUGAUUCCAUCUGUACCUUGCAUAUAUAAGUAUCAUUGUCUGAAACGGUGAAACCACACAUUGUGUCUUUACAUCUUUGCACGAUUUAUUUCGAGUAUUUCUUGUAACUUGUAUGAAUGACAAUUGAUUCCGUAAUAUUUUGUCGUGUCGAUAAGGAAGAUUAAGGAUGAGCAUGUCUCCAGCAAGAGCUGAUAGCAUUUAUGCUCCUUUCCAUGCCGUAAACGAGCUCUGUUUUUCGACCUGCAUUGUACAAAAUUUGCUAUACACUGACAUAAAUCUUUGUAUCAUAAUUAUUUAACUUAAGAUUAUCGCUUUUCAAAUGAAAUCUAGAUCCUCUUCGGAUUUCAGAGUUCAUGGACUGAGUGAUCUGGAUUACUUAUCUUAAAUCUUACGGCUUCCGUUAGUCCAUACUACCAUUCCACCUUACAAGAAUUAGGGGUUCGGAUCUCUCUCCCUCUUCCUCUCUUGAAUAGUUCGGAUUACGAGAUCCGUCAAUUCCGAACUGCGAGAUUUAGAGGGGAUCUGAAUUCUGAAAAUGAUAGCCUCUUGUUUGUUAUACAGGUAAUGCUAUAGUUAAAUCCAUCUUGGUAACUUUAAUUUAACCAGUGGUGUAGAGAAGGACAAGUCCUCUAAUUUUGUAGCUAGGAAGAGUGGAUCUAGUGUUGUAUGUGCGGCCACAUGCUCAUUUCACAUCUUGUGAUCUCCAGUCAAUUUAUGUGGUCAUAAAUGUUUUUCGUUCCCACCUCCACCAACCAAGAGGAGAUGUUAACCUCUGUAUUAUUUACCAGUUUAUUUUAGAACCAAUAUUAAUUAAUUAAUUUUAUCGGAUCUAGUAGCGUGAGCUUGUAACUAAGCAUGACAUUAAGGUGAUUUUGAUUGCUUGUAUGAAAUUUAAUUGAGGUUAUGGUAGUCUUAGUCUGUUCACCUGGCAUGAAAUUACGCAAAACGAGUCCUUCAACCCUUGAGUUAGUAGGAUAAAACUGCGUGUGGGGAUAACACUAACCAUUGAAAUAAGACCAAAAACCUCGUUCAGAGGAGGAUUGUGCCCGCCACGUUCACUCACUCUCUAUGGUCCUGUGGUGAUAAUAAAAAGAUAGAGUGAUCCACAAGAUGUUGCCACGUGGCAGAUAAGGGUUGAUGCCACUUCAUCCUCUCUCUCUCAUUUGUAGCCACUCUAUUUCCACAAACCAUCCCAUUUAUCAACACCGCCAAGGCUUUCACUCCCACUCUCUUUAGCCACAACACAAAAAAGCCUUGCAACCAAAGCAAACCAACAAACAUGGCAGCCACAGCUCUCUCAGGCACCAUGGUCAGCACCUCCUUCAUCCGCGGCCAGCCGAUGACCAGCCUGCGGUUAUCCCCCAACGUCGGUCAGGCCCUUUUCGGGCUCAAGGCCAACCGCGGAGGGCGUGUGGCGAUGGCUGCCUACAAGGUGAAGCUGCUCACACCAGAAGGGCCACAAGAGUUUGAGUGCCCCGACGACGUGUACAUUCUCGACGCGGCGGAGGAGGCCGGGAUUGACCUUCCCUACUCAUGCAGGGCAGGGUCUUGCUCCUCGUGCGCCGGCAAAGUUGUGAGUGGGGGUGUGGAUCAGUCGGACCAGAGCUUUUUGGAUGAUGAGCAGAUGGACGGUGGAUUUGUGCUCACUUGUGUGGCUUAUCCGUCGUCUGACGUCACACUUGAGACCCACAAGGAAGAGGAGCUUACUGGUUAAGUGCUUUUGAGCUUUCUCAUGAUGACGUCAUGUUUUGAUGGCUGCUGGCUGGUUGGAUCUGCCUUAAGUUUGUUUCAGGAUAAGGUUGUCUUGUUUCUAAUUAUAUGAGUUGCUUAAUGUUUUUGUACUCUCAUUUGUGGUAUGGAGAUCAUUGUAUCUUGUAAACUCACCCUUGUAUGAAUCUCUCUCUUUGUUUGGAAGUGCUUUUAGAAUAAUUAGAGGUGCUUUUAGAUAAUUAAAAGUGUUUUUGAGUUGCAAAAGGUUCAAGAAGGAAGAACUUCCCAAUGCUUUUCCACGAAGCACUCUGGUUUUCAUCAAAAAUUUCAAAGUACUUGUAUUAAAAGUGCUUGUGAGCAGGUACCCCAAGUUUUCUAAGUUUAAAAGUGAAGGACAUGUCUUCAAACCAGAUUUGGGAAUCAAUUUUAACAUUGCUUAACAGGACAUUAAGUGUUAAGACCUUGCUUACUAAUCCGUAGUCGGAAUUGUAGGAAUUGAAAUCAGGAGGAGUCGGAAUUGGAUUUUUGUUGAUUCUGGUUACGGAUUAUCAAACACCCCGUAAAAUUAUAUUUCACAAUGCCAAAAAUACAUGUGAAGCCUUCAACUGGCUUCGAAUUCUUGGCGGACAAGUCAAGAACUUCAUGUUUUCUGAAACAAAUCUAAUACAGCAUCCACUUUUUCUUCCACUCGAUUGCCUUCAUCGUCUUCGUCGCUGUUAGUAGGAGGCUGUGAAUCACUCAUUCUUACCGAUUCAGAUAAAUACUCGUGCACUCGAAAUGAGCAUUCAUGCUGAGGUGGUUGAGGUUCGGAAGUGCUGCUGCCGGUGCUCUCUCUCCUUCUCUGUGUGGAUGUGACGGUGUCGUAUGGUGCUGCAAGUCUUCUUCAACCUACUCACAUGGAGAAGCACCGUAUCCUUCCUUUCCGCCAUUCGUUCUUGUAAAUUUAAAAGAUCUAACGGUCCUUUUUUUACUUAAGAAACUGGUAGGAAUAAUAUCAGAAUUUGUUGCAAUACUUCAUCAUCUACUAUGUAGCUAUUCAAUUGCAUCUCUUAAAAUUACGAGAUGGUUCCUUGCUUUUAAGGCCAAAUUACCAUUAGGAUAAUAAUUUUUACUCUUCUUGAUAACGUAGUAUUCAAGCGGGUACUUCACAUUUCAUAAAAUAAGUCAACUGAAACGGAAAAUAUAUCAUUUUCUUUACGUGUUGAUAUUUCUAUGAAAUGUUCUCAAUUUCUCACAAAAUUAGUGCUUGUGAAAAGAAAAUUAUUUUAAUGUGCGAACCAAUUUGUGUCAUGUAACACUUCACUAGAUUGACAUGAACACGAUACAUACGACUUGUCUAUUAGGUUUAGAUUCAACUAAUUAAAAAUCAAAUUCUCCACUACUUAGUAAUAAAGAUCUAGUAGUAUUUAUUUUCACUUAUAAAUGAGAGAUUUUAGUGUAAAUAUUACGUUAAAAAAAAUCAGGACUCCAAAAUGUAUUCUUGACCAAAGAAAAAAGUGUUUCUUUCAGAAAACAGUUCAAGUGUUUUUUAAAGAUUUAAUUGCAUUUUGACUAAAAUAUAGUUCAGAAAAUAUUUUAUUAAAAACGCUUUCAACCAUUUUAAAAACACUUUCAGCCACUUAGUACUACGAUAUAGUGGUAUUCUUCUUCACUAAUAAGUGAGAGGUUCUAUGUUCAAUUCUCGUUAAAGGCGAAUUUGAACUACAUUAUUGUUAGUUCAUUGUGAGGCUAAACACACAUCACUCCUACUGUGUAUAAUAUAUCAAUUAUUCAAAAUAUAGAUAAUAUCGAUUGUUAAAAAAAAAAAUUGAAAAUUGAAGGGCAAAACCGAAAUUCUAGGAAGAAUAAAUGAUGCGCGCGUGCAGGAUUUGGGGUUAAUGUACACUGAGCAGCGAACCCUUUUCUUCUCUAAAACCCCGAACAGGCCAAAAUUCUCAAAACCCUAGCCAUGGCGCUGAGCUCUCUCCGCCUCCGCCGAACCCUAAGCGGUCUCUCCACUCUCAACCGCUCUCUCUCCACAACCUCCGCACUCUCAGCUCUACACUCCUCUUCCUCUCCUCUACUUCGCGCCCCCACCUCAGAAAAAUCCCCUGCAUCGCCGCAACAGUCCUGGAGGCUCCUCCUCCAGUCUCGGACUUUCAGGUCGUCGUCGGUUUCCUCCGCACGGCCGGCGUCUUACGGAAACAACCAAAAGGACGAGAUUGACCCGAAUACGGUACUGUUUGAAGGGUGCGAUUACAACCACUGGCUGAUCGUCAUGGAUUUCCCGAGAGACAACAAGCCUCCGGCUGAAGAGAUGAUCAGGAAUUAUGAGGAGACUUGUGCUAAAGGCUUGAACAUCAGGUCUCUCUCUCUCUACGUGUUUAUGUUUAUUGUAUUUGAUUUUAUAAUAUGUUUGGUUACUAAGAAAAUUUGGGGUAAAAUUACAUUUGUGAACGAAAUUGUUAAUUUUGAGCUUGGUUGUGUAGUUUCUGUGGUAAUCGCCUUGAGCCCUUAAAGGAACUGAUAAGAUGUUACACUGUCUUGCCUAUGAAAUAUUUUACUUUUAGAAAGAAAGAAGGGGAGGGGAAUGAAUUCGUUUGACGAUGUUAGUUCUUUUCGGGUCUUUUCGAUAGUUGCCGAUUAUCGAAUGUAAUUCUGAUUGGUCUUACUAUAGAUAUAUUAUUGGCUAUAUGUGUAUUGCUUAUCAACCAUUUGCUGGGUCCUGGAUGCGAUUCUGUUAAUGCUACUAGUUCCUUGGCGUGUUUUCGGCUAGCUUUAUGUUUGCAGCAGUACUGUAUGCAUUGGAUUUUUCUUCUCUUAAGUUUUAUUGUUAUUCAGUGUGGAAGAGGCAAAAAAGAAGAUGUAUGCUUGUAGCACUACAACAUACAGGCUUUCAGGUUGAGAUGUCUGAGGAAGAGUCACAGAAGUUCGAAGGUAAGUUUUGGAUAGCAUUCUGCGUUACCAUUGAAAAUGAUAGUCUUGAAUCCUGCUAACUUCUCCGUUCGACAUUUAACAGGUUUACCUGGAGUAGUGUUUGUGUUGCCAGAUUCUUACCUUGAUGUACAGAACAAGGAGUAUGGAGGUUAGAUUUUAAUGAUCAUGUUCUUUGAGAAUAGCGGGUUGCAAAUUUAUCGGCAGAUUCAACCAGUUAUGCUGUUUUGGAUUGGAGAGUUGUAAACAAAUGAGCUAGUCCAUCCAUAUCUAGCAUUUUAAUUUAUUUAAGUUGUUUUUGAUAAAUAUCAGGAGACAAAUACAUUAAUGGUACAAUCAUACCAAGACCACCCCCAGUUCAGUAUGGAAGGCAGCAGGGCAGAUUCCGUGAUAAUAACAGGAACCGUGACCAACAAAGAUAUGAUCAGCAACGACCAUCGUAUAAUCCGCCAGGCAAUCCCUCCUAUAGUCAACAGGGUGCUAUGCAAGGUGGAGGGAACUAUGAGGCAUCACAAAAUUAUCCACAACAAAAUUAUAGGUCACCAAGACAAGGAGAGAACACAGGUCCUAUUCCAGUGAAUACCCCCGGAGCGAGGGAUGCUUAUCAGCCAGGCAGAGAUCCAGUACCUUCAUAUCAGGGCAAUUACAACCAAGGUGGGCAGCAAGGUUAUCGUCCCGAAGAACACAGGAACUUCCCACAAGGAGAUCAGAGGAAUUAUGCUCCUCCUGGUCAGCAGGGAUUUAGGGGAGAAAAUAGGAAUUAUGGCCCCCCACAUGCUGAUACCAGUGGGCAAGGUUUGAGUGGAUUUCAAGGACAGGGAACACCUGGAGCUUAUGGACAAGGGCCGAGCUCUGGAGCUUAUGGGCAAGGGCCAAGCUCUGGAGCUUAUGGGGCAAGGGCCAAGCUCUGGAACUUAUGGGCAAGGACCGAGCACUGGAGCUUAUGGGCAAGGACCGAGCACUGGAUCUUAUGGACAAGGACCGAGCACUGGAGCUUAUGGACAAGGACCGAACCCUGGGGCUUAUGGCCAAGGACCGGCAUCUGGUAAUGGCCAGAGAUACCCUGGGCAUGGAGGAGAUGACAGGUUCCAACAAAGUAACUAUGUACCCGUGGGACAGGCAGGGAUUAACCAAGUAAGAUAUCCACUGUUUAUGAAUCUUUAACUUGUGGAGUAUCAUUACAAUUUGAGCAUGAGAUGAGAAAUUGAUGGAAUUUUCUGCAAAUUUUAGAUAGCUCAUGGUUAUUGGUUUUUGCAGGGGAAAAAUUAUUGAUGACAUGCCAGUGCCACUCAAGACAAGACGAUGCAAGAAGGGAUGUAGGAAGACGAGUUAUAAUCGGUGUAUUUCUCAUGUUUGAUCUGAUGGGAAGGGAGAUUAUUUGUCCUCCUGAAGUCUUUCCGUGGUAAAUAAUCUGCCAAAUUCCUUUUGUGAAUCCUCUUUCGUAGUGAAAUGAGACGGUGAAGCUUAUCUUGUUGCAGUAGUUUUUGAAACUUCUAUUGGGACUCUGGUGAUUUAGACUUACAUAAGGUUGGUUCCAACGGUCUUCGUAAUAUAUUAAAUAUUGCUUGAAAACGAUAAUUGAGAUUGGUGAUUGAUUAGUUUGAACUCAAUUACGUGCGUAAUGAAAGCUUUCCGGUACCACCAAGUGCUCCCUGCGCUCCCAUUUCCAUCCCCUGGGAUGGAAAGCGGCGGCAGAGCCGCUGCAGACUUGCAGCUUCAUGGUGGAUGAUAACCAACAAAAACAGAAAUUACGGGGUAGAAGAACCCCAGUUUAUUACCCGAUUUAGUUGUUCUAUGGGAAACGCCCUGGAACUGGACAAGCUUCCUCUGGUACAUGACCGGGAAGAGAAAGUGCUACAAAGAAAAGAAAGGUUUUCCGAGGGCAUUACAUUUUCGAGUGGAUAUUCAACAAGUUUCUUAAAGUUUUGGAAAAAUAAAAUUCAAAAUGCAAAAUUAAAGUUAGGUUGGUGUUUAGGUGGGCGCCUAAGCAGGUUUAGGUGUCAUUUCUUAAUUUUUAAAUGCCUAGGACUAAUCGGGUUGCUGGCCAGCCGACUACUGUUUAAAUGAGACCUAGGCUGCGCUAGACGGAGAUUUUUAGAACAAUGCAUUCAUGUAACUUGAACUUAAAACCUCUCGUGUAAACCUCAAGCAGCCAUAAGGUCCUCAGCUUUCCUGAAAACCUGUGCAAAUCAAUUUUCAUUUUUUCUGUAACAAGGUUUCUUGUCAAAAACUCCGCCUAUGUCUUACAUGGCCGGUCCCAAGCCCGGAUAAAGGAGGAGGGGGAGGGCGUCAGGUAGUCGACAGCCGGCACUCCAUGAUCACGUCGAAUCCUUAUGAAAAUGAAUCAAGAACAAAAUCGCGCUAAAGCUAGGGCGUCAUCCGUAAGUGGCGCGCUGUGUGGCCUGAGCACAGUGAUAAGUGAGCAAGGGUCGCUGUAUCUCCAUCGGCACCCGGAUGCAGUGUUAAAUGAGUAAGGGGGCCAUAGAAACUUCUUUUCGAACUCCACUCAAAGUUGUUUGGGAGCAUAUGCUCUUAUCAACUUUACCCGGGACACACAAAAGAAGUACUUUGAUCCUAUUAGACGGGGGAGGGUGAAGAAGCUAGGACAGAAGGGUAGAGUUCAAGAGAGCAAAAUGCGUUUAGGAACGUGGAAUAUAGGAACCUUAACGGGAAAAUCUAUGGAAGUAGUGGAAGUUAUGGUGAGGAGAAGGAUAAAUAUUAUGUGCCUACAAGAAACUAAGUGGGUUGGUAGUAAGGCAAAGGAUCUAGAAAACUCAGGGUUUAAACUUUGGUAUUCGGGCACAAAUAGAACGAGAAACGGUGUUGGCAUCAUCGUGGACAAGACCUUGGUACAAGAUGUUGUAGAUGUCAAGAGGGUAGGAGAUAGAAUCAUGGCAAUCAAGAUUGUAAUAGGACAAGAACUUAUCAAUGUGAUUAGUGCGUACGCACCUCAAGUAGGGUUGGAUACGAGUUCGAAGGAGAAAUUUUGGGAAGAUCUUGGAGACUUGGUGCAAGGAAUUGCUCAGAUGGAGAAGUUAUUUAUAAGAGGAGAUUUAAAUGGACACGUGGGCAGGGAGACAGGCAACUAUGGAGGUUUUCAUGGUGGCCAUGGUUUUGGGGAGAGAAACGAGGAUGGGGAAGCUAUCUUGGAUUUUGCAAUGGCAUAUGAUCUCUUCUUAGCCAACACCUUCUUUAAGAAGAGAGAAGAACAUGUGAUCACCUACAAGAGUGGGUCGUCAAAAACACAAAUAGAUUUUCUUCUAAUGAGGAAAGGGGAUCGUAUAACUUGUAAGGAUUGCAAAGUUAUACCAGGAGAGAGCGUGGCUAAUCAACAUCGCUUGUUGGUGAUGGAUGUACAUAUCAAAAAGAGUAAGACAAAAGAACAAGACUUGGAAGUGCCCAAGGACUAGAUGGUGGAAUCUAAAAGAAGAAAAAACAAGCCAUUUUCAAAAAGAGAAGGUAAUCACCCAAUGUGUGUGGGAUAGAGAGGGGGAAGCUAGCCAAAUGUGGGAUUCCAUGGCUAGUUGUAUCCGAAAAGUAGCAAAAGAGGUAUUAGGAGAGUCCAAGGGCUUUGCCCCACACCAAAAGGAAUCUUGGUGGUGGAAUGAGGAGGUACAAACAAAGGUGAAGGCUAAGAAGGAAUGUUGUAAAGCCUUAUACAAGGAGAUGACUGAUGAAAAUGGUGAAAGGUAUAGAAAAGCGAAGCAAGAGGCGAAGAAAGCUGUCAGAGAAGCUAAGUUAGGGGCUUACGACGAUAUGUAUAAACGACUAGAUACCAAAGAAGGAGAGUUGGAUAUCUAUAAACUAUCUAGAGCAAGGGAAAAGAAGACAAGGGACCUAAACCAAGUGAGGUGCAUCAAGGAUGAGGAUGGAAAGGUUCUUGCUACAGAGAACGCGGUUAAAGACAGAUGGAGAGGUUAUUUUCAUAAUCUUUUCAAUGAAGGACAUGAAAUGAGUGCUUCUUUAGGGGAGUUGAGUAACUCAGAAGAGUGUAGAAACUACUCUUUUUAUCGUCGAAUCCGGAAGGAAGAAGUGGUUGUAGCUUUGAAGAAGAUGAAGCAUAAAAAAGCAAUAGGCCCAGACGAUAUACCAAUCGAAGUGUGGAAACUUUUGGGAGAGACAGGUAUAACAUGGCUCACUGACCUUUUUAAUAGGAUUUUGAAAAUGAAGAAGAUGCCAAAUGAGUGGCGAAUGAGCACUUUGGUGCCUAUCUACAAGAAUAAGGGCGACGUACAAAAUUGCAUGAACUAUAGGGGUAUUAAGCUAAUGAGUCAUACAAUGAAGCUCUGGGAGAGAGUCAUUGAGCAUAGAUUGAGGCAAGAGACACGGGUUUCGGACAACCAAUUCGGGUUCAUGCCAGGGCGCUCAACCAUGGAGGCAAUCUAUCUCUUACGAAGAUUGAUGGAAAGAUAUAGAGAUGGGAAAAAGGAUUUACACAUGGUCUUUAUAGAUUUGGAAAAAGCGUAUGAUAGGGUCCCAAGAGACAUUCUUUGGAGGAUUUUAGAGAAGAAAGGAGUACGAGUAGCAUAUAUCCAAGCUAUAAAGGAUAUGUAUGAAGGAGUAAAGACUGCCGUAAGAACUCAUGAAGGACAAACCGAAAGCUUUCCCAUAACUGUAGGAUUACAUCAAGGCUCAUCCUUAAGUCCUUACCUUUUUGCGUUGGUAAUGGAUGAGUUAACACGACAUAUUCAAGAUGAUAUUCCUUGGUGUAUGCUUUUCGCAGACGAUAUAGUGUUGAUAGAUGAAACUCAGGAAGGGGUAAAUGCAAAGCUUAACCUUUGGAGAGAAGUGUUGGAAUCUAAAGGUCUUCGCCUAAGCCGAUCAAAGACAGAAUAUAUGGAGUGCAAGUUCAGUGCAAAUGGAGGCCAAAACGAGUUAGGGGUGAGGAUCGGAGAUCAAGAAAUACCAAAGAGCGACCGUUUUCGUUACCUAGGAUCUAUCUUGCAAAAGAACGGAGAAUUAGAUGGAGAUCUCAACCAUAGAAUACAAGCUGGAUGGAUGAAGUGGAAGAGUGCAUCCGGCGUGUUGUGUGACCGCCGUAUGCCACUGAAGCUCAAGGGAAAAUUUUAUAGGACGGCAAUAAGGCCGGCGAUGCUGUAUGGCACAGAAUGUUAGGCGGUGAAACAUCAACACGUACACAAAAUGGGUGUAGCGGAGAUGAGGAUGCUUCGUUGGAUGUGUGGGCACACGAGAAAGGAUAAGAUUAGGAAUGAGGAUAUCCGGGGUAAAGUAGGAGUAGCCGAAAUUGAAGGAAAGAUGAGAGAAAAUCGGUUACGGUGGUUUGGACAUGUGCAAAGAAGGCCUACUGACGUUCCGAUUAGAAGAUGCGACUAUGGGACAGAGGUUCAGGGCUGAAGGGGUAGAGGAAGACCUAGGAAAACUUUGGAAGAGACUCUAAGAAAAGACUUAGAGUACUUGGAUCUAACGAAGGACAUGACACAGGAUCGAGCACAAUGGCGUUCUAAGAUUCAUAUAGCCGAUCCCACUCAGUGACUUGGAUUUUCCAAGUCUCCAACCGAGAAGUUUUCCUCACUCGGGAAAUUAAGGGAACACUACCCCAACCUACAUGCUCCACUCAGAAAGCUUCAACAUACAAGCUUUAACAAAAGAAAAUUCAAAGAACUUAGCGAAAAAGGCUUUGGUGUAUUUAACACAAUACGUUGAAAUGAAGGAAAGCUUAUUUAUUGAUAUCCCCGAUAAGCUACAAAUAUGUACAUAUACAUGAGUCAAAAUAAGCACACAAGAGGGAGCCUUCACAAAGGUUGCUUAGGAGAAGUCUCAGCAGUCGGUAGAGCCCCAGAAAGAGAAGGCACCGGAGGGGGAUCAUUUGGAGCCUCAGUACUGGACAGAACCCUAAAAGGAGGAGGCAUCAGAGAGGUUGAUCAUUUGGAGCUUCAUUACGCGGUACAGCCCCAGAAGACGAAGGCAAUAAAUGCCUUUGGAACAAACCCACAAAUCUCUGAUGAUCAAGUAAAACCUGACCAUCAGUUUCCUUCAUCUGGUCAAGCUUCCUCUUCAUGUUUGUAGCAUAGUCAUGUGCGAGCCGGUGCAACUGUUUAUUCUCAUGCUUGAGCCCUCUAAUCUCCUGUUUGAGACUCAUCACUUCAGCCACCAAUGAUUCAACUUGGCGGGUUCGAGCAAAUAGGCGUUGGGCCAUAUUAGACACAGAACCUGCACACUGAACACUGAGAGCCAGCGAAUCCUUAACAGCUAACUCAUCAGACCGUUUGGAAAGUAGUCUGUUAUCUUUGGGAGUGAGAAGGUUCCUGGCCACCACCGCAGCGGUCAUAUCAUUCUUCAUCACGGAAUCCCCAACGGUAAGAGGACCAGUAGGGGAGACGAAGGAUGGGCGCCAUAUGUUGUCUGGAGAAGGCGGGGCUGCCUCUUUAACAAGGUUCAAGUCAAAACGACGGUCGGAGGGGCCAGACAUUUUCAAAGGUGUUGAAGAGAGAAGAGGUCGGACAAAUCAAGAUCUUAGAAGUGCAAGAAUGAAGCUUCUACUGGUGGAGAUUCAAGUGUGCUUUGGAACUUAAUGCCAGCCCCUAUAAAAAUCUGCACUCGACGAAGCUUCAGAAAUCGAAGAGGCGCCUGCUCAGAAAUCGAAGAGGCGUUUGCUUUCUCAAAAGCUGGGCUGCUUAGAGAUCACGAGGGUUGAUCUCAGAAAUCGAAGAGGCGUUUGCUUUCUCAAAAGUUGGGCUGCUCAAAGACCACGAAGGCCGAUCUCAAAAAUCGAAGAGGCGCUCGCUUUCUCAAAAGCUGGGCUCCCCAGAGACCACGAGGGCCGAUCUCAGAAAUCGAAGAGGCACCUACUUUUCCAGCCUUUUCCAGCCUUGUCAGCACCUGUCACACGCACACUCAGUUUUGCGGAAAUUAUGGGCAUUCUGUCAAAGACUUCUGGGGAAGUAGAAAACACAUGAAUCUUACUGUUCAAUCACCCACUUCCCACACGCAACAAUAGCUCAUGGGUACCACAGAUAACUUUGCCAAAGUUCUCUGCCAAAGUUGAGCACGUGAAGCUUGCAGCUCCCACUACAUCGCUCUGACCAAGAAGGGUAAAAGAAUAGCAAAGAAACAGCACUAACAAAGUUUAGACCCAUAAAUUUUGAAGGUCUAGCUACCAUAUUAUUACCCACAAGGGUAAAGGAACAGUACCACUGCUGGAUAAUUGGAAAGUCCCUGUGUGUCAACCUCUGUGCUUCGUGGCAAGGUAGACUAGCAAACAUGCCCAACCUUUACUCACAUUCGAGAAAACAGUCCCAAUAAGAUUGCUUGCUCCAAAAUCGAAGAGGCACCGUCCUCCGAAUCUCGAGAGCCAGACUCCCAACAUGACUACUUUCUUAAAAAUCGAAGAGAGGGUAAAGGAACAGUACCAUUGCUGGAUAAUUGGAAAGUCCCUGUGUGUCAACCUCUGUGCUUCGUGGCAAGGUAGACUAGCAAACAUGCCCAACCUUUACUCACAUUCGAGAAAACACUCCCAACAAGAUUGCUUGCUCCAAAAUCGAAGAGGCACCGCCCUCCGAAUCUCGAGAGCCAGACUCCCAACAUGAUUACUUUCUCAAAAAUCGAAGAGACACUGCUCCCCGAAUCUCGAGAGCCAGACCCCCAGCAUGAUUGCUUUCUCAAAAAUCGAUGAGGCAUCGUUCUCCGAAUCAAUCGAAGAGGCGCUCGCUUUCUCAAAAGCUGGGCUGCUCAGAGACCACGAGGGCCUAUCUCAGAAAUCGAAGAGGCACCUACUUUUCUAGCCUUGUCAGCACCUGUCACACGCACACUCAGCUUUGCAGAAAUUAUGGGCAUUCUGUUGAAGACUUCUGGUGAAGUAGAAAGCACAUGAAUCUUACUGUUCAAUCACCCACUUCCCACACGCAACAAUAGCUCAUGGGUACCACAAAUAACUUUGCCAAAGUUCUCUGCCAAAGUUGAGCACGUGAAGCUUGCAGCUCCCACUACAUCGCUCUGACCAAGAAAGGUAAAAGAAUAGCAAAGAAACAGCACUAACAAAAGUUUAGACACAUAAAUUUUGAAGGUCUAGCUACCAUAUUAUUACCCACAACUGUAAAGGAACAGUACCACUGCUGGAUAAUUGGAAAGUCCCUGUGUGUCAACCUCUGUGCUUCGUGGCAAGGUAGACUAGCAAACAUGCCCAACCUUUACUCACAUUCGAGAAAACACUCCCAAUAAGAUUGCUUGCUCCAAAAUCGAAGAGGCACCGUCCUCCGAAUCUCGAGAGCCAGACUCCCAACAUGACUACUUUCUCAAAAUCGAAGAGAGGGUAAAGGAACAAUACCAUUGCUGGAUAAUUAGAAAGUCCUUGUGUGUCAACCUUUGUGCUUCGUGGCAAGGUAGACUAGCAAACAUGCCCAACCUUUACUCACAUUCGAGACAACACUCCCAACAAGAUUGCUUGCUCCAAAAUCGAAGAGGCACCGCCCUCCGAAUCUCGAGAGCCAGACUCCCAACAUGAUUACUUCCUCAAAAAUCGAAGAGACACUGCUCUCCGAAUCUCGAGAGUCAUACCCCCAGCAUGAUUGCUUUCUCAAAAAUCGAAGAGGCAUCGUUCUCCGAAUCUCGAGAGCCAGAUACCACAGACCACUUUUUCAAAAUGCUCUGACAGAGUUAAAACAUGUGAAACUGGCAGCUCCCACUACCGUGCUAUGACCAAGCAGGGUAAAGGAAUAGCAUUACUACUUGUUGUUAGGGAGACUCCUAUAUAUGUCGACCUCUAUCCCCAACGGACAGGCAGACCUGCAAAAAUGCUCAACCCUUCAUCAUAUCUGAGAGGGCACUCCCAACGAAGCCUUUGGAAAUAUUCAGCUUUCUUUCCCCCCGAUAAUACCUCUGCAAACAAGCUAUACUAGAGCAAGAAUAUCUCAUAUCAUCAGGGUUAAAAGUAAGAGUAUCCCAUAUCAUGCUUUUUCCCUGUCUUUUCUUUUGGCCUUGUUUUUACCUGCAAGACAAGGAGAAAGAGAGCAAUCAGUCAGCACUUGGAAUCAAGCUUCCAGCCAGGAACUGACUGCCUGGAAACCCUUACCUGAUUACUUACCUGGCAUUGCUUUCGAGUACUCAUCUUCAACAUCUUAUGUUUCCAGGGAAGAUUCCGCAUCUGCUUGAGGAACAGAGAGGGCAAGUGCGAAGGAUACAAGGAAGCAUGUGGAGACAAGCGUAACAGCACACGUGCCGAUACAUUCAUUACUCUGUCAAAAGCAAAAGUAUCCCAUAUCAGCAGGGUGGAACGUACUCUAGAUUUGAUGGACUUGUUUUGACCCUCAAAUUCUUCAGUCGGCCUUAUACUCUGGAGGAAACCAGAAAUCCCUCCAGCUCAGUUCAAGAAUAAGCCUGUGGAAAGUUACUUCUUCAAAAGCAAAAGUAUCUCAUAUCAUCUCUUCUCAUUUUUCUUCUCUUUAUCCUUCAUGCUGCUGCAAGAUGGGGAGAAGGUGAACAAUCAGUCGGAGCUCUGAUUGCUUACCUUGUCUGUCACCUCUUUCAGCAGACCCCCUAGCUCGGCGACUUGGGGGACUCCUACUACAUGGUUUGUAUCGCGCUUGACCAAGCCUGAAACUACAAGUAAGCUUCAAGUGAAAUUGAUACAUUACCUUGUGCAUCUCCACCAGUUAAAGAUACCACCCCUGGAUGGAGGAAGAGUACUUCCAGAGAAGAUGCCACAUCUACCUAUGAGACAGAUAAGGCAAGUCAAGACGACACCACACUCCGAUACUUAGAAGUUUCGUGAUUACGAGAUCAUUCUCCCACAAUAUUUCCUAAUGUCAUUUGUACUAAAUCAUUCACUUGUACUCACUAAAUAAGAGAUUGAACCUAUGUACUUGUGUAAACCCUUCACAAUUAAUGAGAACUCUUCUAUUCCGUGGACGUAGCCAAUCUGGGUGAACCACGUACAUCUUGUGUUUGCUUUCCUAUCUCUAUCCAUUUAUAUACUUAUCCACACUAAUGACCGGAGCAAUCUAGCGAAGAUCACAAAAAGCGAUCGUUUUCGCUACCUAGGAUCUAUCUUGCAAGAGAAUGGAGAAUUAGAUGGAGAUCUCAACCAUAGAAUACGAGCUGGAUGGAAAGAGUGCAUCCGGCGUGUUGUGUGACCGUCGUAGGCCACUGAAGCUCAAGGGAAAAUUUUAUAGGACGGCAAUAAGGCUAGCGAUGUUGUAUGGCACAGAAUGUUGGGUGGUGAAGCAUCAACACGUACACAAAAUGGGUGUAGCGGAGAUGAGGAUGCUUCGUGGGAUGUGUGGGCACACGAGAAAGGAUAAGAUUGGGAAUGAGGAUAUCCGAGGUAAAGUAGGAGUAGCCGAAAUUGUAGGAAAGAUGAGAGAAAAUCGGCUCCGGUGAUUUUGGACAUGUGCAAAGAAGGCCGACUGACGCUCCGGUUUGAAGAUGUGACUACGGGACAGAGGUUCAGGGCCGAAGGGGUAGAGGAAGACCUAGGACAACUUUGGAAGAGACUCUAAGAAAAGACUUAGAGUACUUGGAUCUAACGGAGGACAUGACACAAAACCGAGCGCAAUGGCGUUCUAGGAUUCAUAUAGCCGACCCCACUUAGUGGGAAAAUGCUUUGUUGUUGUUGUUGUAAGGUUUCUUGUCAAAGUUAUAAAAAGAAAUGUAAUUCCACCUGGAUGCAUACCAACAAAGGAGAAAAAAGAAUGCUGAGAGCUUUAAAAGUUAUCUCAGUGUUUUUAAGAAAACUGAAGAGAACUUAAACCCUCUUGGCCAACAUAUAAAUACAAGUCAGGAGCCUCUCACCAAUCCCCAGCAUCGACGGUCAUUUUUGCGACACGAUUCCCACACCCGAUGCUCCUUGUGCGUAGAGUCCUGCCGCCGCCCGCUGUAUCAAUUUCAUCGUACCAUCUUACAUUGGUUGUUCGCUCCUAAGAACAUGAUAUCAAGCUUUCGCUGCAUUACUUGUCUGAAGAGUCAUUUUUAUGUUCAUUGAUGCCAACUCAGCAGCUAAAUAUCUGAAGACAUAAGGCAUUGCAACUGUCUCCAUCCCUUUACUUGUGUUACAAGCAUGGCAGCUGACCUUCUUGGGAGCUCUUACAGGGGGAAUUCCUGAAACCGCACGCACAACCCGUUUUGGUUGGACGAAUGAGGACGUUAGGAUGCUUCCACAUAUGAAGCCUGUCAUGCAACAGAUAUGCUGCCCCGUGCGCAAGCAUGGAGUCCCUCUCCAUUUCGCCAAAACGUAUACCACCACCUCACUUUCGUCCCGUGAUAGGCUGGCGAGUGAUCUGGUCUACCGUUCCAGUGGAGCGUACCUGCACGCCAAAUCGAGUACCACAUGUAAGGCAACUGAUGAUAAAAAUUGGGACACUGAGAAAAUCUUGAAAGCUCGUGUAGUUAUAAAACUUGAAAUUGGUCGAAUCUUUACCUGAAAUUUGUCUGAAACCAUAUGUCGUAGUUGUUGAUAAUAAACAGGGCCAAUAAAGUGAGUUCUGUGCCAUAAUCCCCGCUGUACAGAACCUCUACACCAUGGUAGUUAAACCUCUUAACCUUCAACAAUUCGCCAAGUUCAUCAACAAGGGUUUUGGAUUUUGGUCCAGUCUCUCCAUUAGCGUUCUUUGAACUAGCAAAUGGUGUUGCGUCAACAUAAUGUCCAUGUAAGCUACCACCAUGUGACAAGAAAUGUUCAAGGUUAAGGGGUUUAACUACAGGAGUGUACAGGUAGUGCAAUUUUUCAGCAACUGUUAACAACAUACAGUAAAAAUUAAAUUGUUUAGGUUCAAGUACCUUUGCAGCAACCGAUUCCAACAGCAUAGCUAUCGUCAUUCUAGAAGGAAAUUUAUCACCAAUGAUAGGGUUUCUAGUGUGUCGAAAGCGUAUGUUUGCCUGCACAAGAACGGUAUAAUGUUAUGGCAUAUAAUAAGUUAUGGGAUAAACAUUUUAACAAUGAUUGACCCAGAGUUAUGAUGAUAACUAGAGAUAUUCAACGAAACAUUAGGAAAAGUAAUGAACAAAUCUCCCAUGUUAUUAAGUCAUAAAUACGGAGCAUCUGCAGAAUUGCAGAUACAUUAAUCCCAAAGUAAGUAUACCUAUGGGAAACAUGGCUAUUAGCAAUCAUUAAACCCAAGAUUUAAUGUAGUCCCUAGAGACAAAUUCUUUCCUCAUUUGGUCACACAAAAUUGAUAGAAAUUAAUAGAGAAGUGAGGGGGACAAAAACCUUAAACUAAAUCUUUUUCUGUGCAAUCGCAAACCAAAUAAGGUAAACGUAGAUGAGCUUAAAGUUGACUCUCAUUUCUCCAUUGGCAAGCAAAACAUGGUCCAUAAAGACAAUACAAAAUAGGUACAAGCAAUCAUCAAGCACAGUUAUCAAUUAGCUAUAUAUUGCGAUUCGAUAUAUUCAGACUUUUCAAAUCCAGUCUCCGAGAUCCAAAAUUAGGAACCAAAGUAAAUGUUGUCCACUUACCUUUUGAAGGAGCUUCUUCCCAUCAAUAGCAACAUAGUCAACUAUAACGGGUUCUGUACCUUUCCGUUUGAUGGCUCUGGGCUUAUGGAGUGUGGCAUUGGUAAAGCUAUAGUAUUCUUCAUAUGGUUUUAUUGUCUGAAAUGCAACAGAGAAUAAAGUUGAGUACAGAAUUGCAACCACAUAUGUACUAUAUAUACAUUUAUAUUGUAUGAGAUUUUAGGCUUCAACUCUCGGGUUUUGAACUCUGUAAAACCCAAAAGUAAUGACCUAAAAUCUAAGCAAUAACAGGUGCCAGGGAAAAACUUGCACUUCCAGUCCGUCAACUGGCCAGAGGCUGCAUUAGGACACCAAUCAUUAAGUCAGUCGACUGGCCAGAAGCUUGCAUCUUGGACAAAUCUCACAUCAACAGUUGCACUGCCAUGAUCCUAACUUUCUGUGUUCAACAUAAUGCAGGAGAAUAUAGAGCACAAACUAAAAUCCAGAAAUGAAUGCUAACCUGACCAACAUAAGGAAGACCAUCUGAAUCAAUCAAAGGAUUUUUAUCGACGUUACUUUUCUUAAAAAAUGUUGGGGUGUUAUCCGACCUCUUCUUUUGAUCAGACGAGUCUAUUGUUUCUGUCUGCCAAAACACAUCAUUUGGUAAGCAAGAGUAUUUAGGUCCAAGAAGAAAACCAUAUGCAUUAGUAAAGACAUUGAUUUGGUAUACAAAAGCAUAAAAGAAUAAAAGAAAAAUAAAAUUCCUGAAAUUUCUGUUAAAGCUUUCAACAUACACAAUAAGAAACAAGAAUAAAUUCAUGUAUACAAAACGCAUUUGGCCAAAUGAAUACAAGAUUUUCUAAUAGAUUCCAUCAAGAACAAAAUCUCCAUCACUUUGUUCGGCCCUGCAGGAUGAUUAUUUAGAAAUUUUUGUGUGGACUCCAAUUUAGUAAUAUGAAUAAACUACUAAGCUGCAUGGAUUUUUAAGGUGCACAUUCUUAUAAUUUGUAAUAUGCCCUUGAGGCUCAAACUCAUAUUUCUCGAAACGAGCUAUACAGGAAUGUGAAAAAAAAAUUUAGCGGUAGGAUUCCAAAAAAUUUAUACAAGAUGGAACUUCUGUUGAACAAUAACCAAGGACAGACAGGAGGGUAAAACAGAAAAGACCCUGACACUGAUACAUAUUCAUGGGCUCUGAUUAUGAUCUGACCAGGGUGUAAGAUUAGCGACCACACUGAGCAUUCCAGUUGGAUGAAUUUCUUCAUGAGUUGCUGGGAAACCAUCUUUCCUUCCACCAUCUCGACCAUCAGGACAUCUUAUUUCCAUGAAAACCUAAUAGCACAUGGAGAAACCAGAUAGUCAUACUUUUAGGGUCUGAUCAUAAUAAGCACCUGACUAUCAAAGCAGAAAAAUGAUAAACGAUAAUUCUUAUCAUGGCAGAAAACAUAAUGUGGGUAAAAAAAUUAUUAAAAGAAAAACCAUAUUUACCUGUUCAAGGGGUCCAAUAAGUUCAAUAUUCUGACCUCCAACGGAAGGAAUUGAAAUGUUCUUUACUGGCCGAACAAAUCUAGAAGGGAUAGUGAAAAGGUACAGACCAGGAUAUGCCCCACUCAUGCUUAAGAGCAGUUUCAUCGCCCAGUGAACAGUAACUAUCUUUUGCAUCUCUACUCUACACUGAAUAGCUUUGACAAUAGGCAAUAAAAUAUUAGUAUUUUUUAAAUUUAUAAAAUAAUACAAAAUAAUUUAAUUUGUAAUUUCGGAUAAGAUUUUUAAUCGUUCUCAUUGUGCCACGUGUCAUUAUCCAAAAAGACAAUUAUUGGUGAUGGAUUUCGAUAAGAUUUUUAUUCAAUGUUGUCGUGCCACGUGUUGUUACCUUUUCAGAAUCGUUGAGGAUAGAUUUCCGAUAAUAUUUUUAACCAAUCACGUCGUACCACGUGUCAUAAUCUGUUUACAAUAUUUGAGGAUAGAUUUCGAUCAAAUUUUUAAUGAAUGACGGCAUGCAACGUGGCAUUAUCUACAACCUAAUCAUUUCUGAAUCCUCCAUAUAAUCCACCAUCCAUCCUCAGAAAUCUCACACCAAUUUUCUGAAGAUCUCUAUCAUUAUUCAUAGUUCCUUCUUCAUCAAAAUCAAAAUCUGUAUCAUUAUUCAUAGUUUAUGCUUCCUUCUUACAAUGUCUUCUUCUUCAAGAAUGAUGUGGGAAAUCGAUCAACAAGAGGAAUAAUUGUUAACCAAUCAUAAUGAAUGUUCAAUAUCCAAGUGGCCCAAAAUGAGAGGGAAGAGGAUAAGGAGCGUAGAAGGAGAGAUGACGAAGCAAGAAUGGGCAAAGCCUCACAUUCCCAUCAAGUCAUCCAAGCUGUGGGUCAGAUCUGCAGGCCCAACCAUUCCGGAAACCUUGAUAGAAGCAGACAACGACAAGGUAUGAAACUCUUGGAUGAUUAUUUUGUCCGUAAUAGUGCAUUGCCUAAUACAUACUUUAGACGUCGUUUUAGAAUGGAACGACAUUUGUUCAACAAAAUCAUGAUUGCAACCAUGAUUCUUACUUUGUGCAAAAGAAUGAUGCUUUUGGUGAUAUGAGUCUUAUUCCUGAGCAAAAAAUUACUGUUGCCUUGCGGAUGCUUACAUAUGGAGUAUCUACAGACCAAGUGGAUGAGAUAGCGAGGAUGGGGAAAUCAAAUAUUCUUAAGUCCCUGAUGAGGUGUUGUGGAGCAAUCGAAUCUAUCUACACCGUAGAGUACCUCCGGAGACCUACUAACAUGGAUUUACAAAGGCUUAUGAAAAAGGGCGAGAUGUGAGGUUUUCCUGGGAUGAUUAGAAGCAUCGACUGUAUGCACUGGACCUGGAAAAACUGUCCAAGUGCAUGCCAAGACGUUUAUAGGGACAGAAAAGGAGCAAAAAGUGUCAUUUUGGAGGCAGUGGCAUAUUUUGAUACAUGGAUUUGGCACACAUUUUCCGGGGUUCUAAGAGCUCAAAAUGACCACAAUGUCCUUGCCCAAUCCCGAGUGUUCAACUAUGUCCUGCAAGGAUAGGCACCAAAAGUCACGUACUAGGUCAACGGACAUAAGUACGAUGGGCCAUACUACCUAGCAGACGACAUUUAUCCAAUAUGGUCAUCGUUUUUCAAAACAGUGCCCUGUCAGCGAAGUACAAAGGCAAAACACUUUGCAAGCUAUCAAGAGGGGUGCAGGAAGGAUGGAGCGUUGUUUUGGUAUCCUCCAAGCUCAAUGACUGAUUGUUAGGGGUGCUGCCAAAAUGUUUGAUGUAGAGUCGCUUCGAUCCAUCAUGAUGACGUGCAUCAUUCUUCACAACAUGAUUGUGAAAGAUGAGUACGAUUAUGAUGUCGUUGAUGAAUAUGAGCAAGACACGAUGAACAAUUCCAGAACACAAAUAUAUUGUGCUCAUGACGCCACCGAAGAACCUGUGCAACACGAGCCAUUAGAAAUGGAUGGACGUUACAAUGAAAGGCUCAUUCAACGAUAUAUUGCACUUCAAAGGCCAUAUAUGCACAAUGUCCGGCAAAUUGACUUGAUAGAGCACCAGUGGGAAUUGAAACAAGCUCAAGAUACUUAAGUUCAUUUAGUGUGUUUGUUUUUAUUUGAUGUGUCUAUUUAAUUUCAUUUGGUGUGUUUUUUUUUAGUUCAUUUAGUGAGUUUUUUAUUAUUUGUUGUGUUUUUUUUAGUUCAUUUAGUGAGUUUUUUAAUAUUUGGUAUGUUUAUGUAAUUUUAUUUGGUGUGUUUAUGUCAUUUGAAUAAAGAUUCUCUUAGUAUAAAUAAAUUUAAUCUCACUUUAAAUUAAGUACUAAAUUCAAUAAAUUGGAAACAACAUAUAGUACUUUAUUCAAUAAAUAAUAAAUUACAACCCAAAGUGAUUAGAAAAUUAUGGGCUCCGAUUAUAAAAAGUACUCUAUUCAUCAUCACUUAACCAAUUUGUGGUGCUAGGAUUAUCUUCUCUUGUUGUGCUAGGACCAUUUCCUCUUGCUUGCCUCCUUUGCACCACGUCCGUUUUCUCCGACUUCCAAAAAUAUUUAGAAUUUGAAGACUUUCCUUCUAAAGUUGUGUUCAUAAUGUCACGAUCUCGUUGAGCCAUUCUUUCUUCUCUAAACUGUUCUAUUUCUUGCCUAAGUAGCUCUUUUUCUCUCUCAUUAGCUUGAAAUGCUCUCUCAACAGCUGCAACUUUUACCUCUUCUCUAGCCUUAUCAGCCUCAAAUUUCGCUAUUUCCAGCGCCAAAGUCAAUUCACCUUGGUGAGGACGUUCUUCCAUAUACUUUGCAUAAUCAUUCUUGGAAGCACUCCCUUUACUCUUUGAAGUGUUCUUACCUUGAGGCCUAAUUGGAUAAUGGGUUGACCCCGACGCUUGUUCAGGGGGGCGUUUCAAGCACUUCUUCUGCGUCAUCUUCAUGAACAUGCAAGGCAUGAUCGGGUGUAGAGUGUAGAGGGGUACUGUUCAUGAAAACUUCUGGAUCGACAGACACAACUCUGAAUUUAGGACAAUCUUUGACAAUAUUCCAACAUUCCCACUGGUUGAAUGAUUUGUUUUUGCUUUCGGUUUUGGCAUUAUACCAAGCUUGUACUUGAAAUUCCUACACAAUGCGGGAGAAUAAAUAAUUAUAAUGAAAGUAGGUAACAAAUAAAUAAUACAAACAAAUAAUUACAAUGAAAGUAGGUAACAAAUACUAAUACAAACAAAUAAUUAUAAUCAAAGUAGCUAACAAAUAAAUAAUACAAACCAAUAUUUGUUUAUAUUUGUAUUAUUUAUUUGUUAGCUACUUUGAUUAUAAUUAUUUGUUAGUAUUAUUUAUUUGUUACCUACUUUGAUUAUAAUUAUUUGUUUGUAUUAUUUAUUGUUACCUACUUUCAUUAUACUUAUUUCUUCUCCCGCACUGUAUAAGAAUUUCAAGCACAAGCUUGGUAUAAUGCCAAAACCAAAAGCAAAAACAAAUCAUUCAACCAGUGGGAAUGUUAGAAUAUUGUCAAAGAUUGCCCUAAAUUUAGAAUUGUGCUUGUCGGUCCAGAAGUUUUCAUGAAAAACACCUCUCUACACUCUACACCCGAUCAUGCCUCUCAUGUUCACGAAGAUGACACAGAAGAAGUGCCCGAAACACCCCCCUGAACAAGCGUCGGGGUCGACUCGUUAUCCAAUUAGACCUCAAGGUAAGAACGAUUCAAAGAGAAAAGGGAGUGCUUCCAAGAAUGAUUAUGCAAAGUUUAUGGAAGAACUUGAUCGCCAAGGUGAAUUGACUUUGGCACCGGAAAUGGCGAAAUUUGAGGUUGAUAAGGCUAGAGAAGGCUAGAGAGGAGGCAAAAGCUGCAGCUAUUGAGAGAGCAUUUCAAGCUAAUGAGAGAGAAAGAGAGUUACUUAGGCAAGAAAGGGAACAAGUUAGAGAAGAAAGAAUGGCUCAACGAGAUCGUGACAUUAUGAACACGCCUUUAGAAAGGAAGUCUCCAAAUUCUAAAUAUUUUUGGAAGUCGGAGAAAGCGGACGUGGUGCGACGAAGGAGGCGUGCAAGAGAAGCGAGAGCAAGAGGAGAUGGUCUUAGCACGACAAAAGAAGAUCAUCCUUGCACCACAAAUUGGUUAAGUGAUGAUGAAUAGAGUACUUUUUGUAAUCGGAGCCCAUAAUUUUCCAAUCACUUUGGGUUGUAAUUUAUUAUUUAUUGAAUAGAGUACUGUAUGUUGUUUCCAAUUUAUUGAAUUUAGUACUUUAUUUAAAGUGAGAGUAAAUUUAUUUAUACUAAGAGAAUCUUUAUUCAAAUGACAUAAACACACCAAAUAAAAUUACAUAAACAUACCAAAUAAUAAAAUACUCACUAAAUGAACCAAAAAAAACACACCAAAUAAAAUUACAUAAACAUACCAAAUAAUAAAAAACUCACUAAAUGAACUAAAAAAAACACACCAAAUAAAAUUAAAUAAACACACCAAAUAAAAACAAACACACUAAAUGAACUUAAGUAUCUUAAGCUUGUUUCAAUUCUCACUGGUGCUCUAUCAAGUCAAUUUGCCGGGCAUUGUGCAUAUAUGGCAUUUGAAGUGCAGUAUAUCGUUGAAUGAGCCUUUCAUUGUAACGUCCAUCCCUUUUUAAUGGCUUGUGUUGCACGGGUUCUUCGGUGGUAUCAUGAGCACAAUAUAUUUGUGUUCUGGAAUUGUUCAUCGUGUCUGGCUCAUAUUCAUCAACGGCAUCAUAAUGGUACUCAUCUUCCACAAUCAUGUUGUGAAGAAUGAUGCACGUCAUCAUGAUGGAUCAAAGCGACUCUACAUCAAACAUUCUGGCAGCACCCCUGAUAAUCGGCCAUCGAGCUUGGAGGAUACCAAAACAAUGCUCCACAUCCUUUCUGCACCCCUCUUGACAGCUUGCAAAGUGUUUUUCUUUUGCACUUCGCGGAAGUGGCACUGUUUUGACAAACGAUGGCCACCUUGGGUAAAUGUUGUCUGCUAGGUAGUAUGGCCCGUCGUAUUUAUGUUCGUUAACCUAGUACGUGACUUUUGAUGCUUAACCUUGCAGGACAUCGUUGAACACUUGGGAUUGGGCAAGGACAUUGUGGUCAUUUUGAGCUCCCGGAAUCUCGAAAAAUGUGUGCAAAAUCCAUGUUUCAAAAGAUGCCACUGCCUCCAAAAUGAUACUUUUUGCUCAUUUUCUGUUCCCAUAAGCGCCUUGCCAUGCACUUGGACAGUUUUUCCAGGUCCAGUGCAUACAGUCGAUGCUUUCAAUCAUCUCAGGAAAAUCUCACAUCUUGCCCUUCUUCAGAAGCCUUUGCAAGUCCAUGUCAGUAGGUAUCCGGAUGUAUUAUGCGGUGUAGAUAGAUUCGAUUGCUCCGCAAAACCUCAUCAGGGACUUAAGAAUGGUUGAUUUUCCCAUCCUCACUAUCUCAUCCACUUAGUCUGCAGAUGCUCCAUAUGCAAAGCAUCUGCAAGGCAGCAGUAAUUUUUUGCUCAGGAAUGAGACCCAUAGCACCAAAAGCAUCAUUCUUUUACACAAAGUAAGAAUCAUGGUUGCAAACAACAAUCAUGAUUUUGUUGAACAAAUGUCGUUCCAUUCUAAAACAACGUUUAAAGUACGUAUCAGGGAAUUCACUAUUACGGACAAAAUAAUUGUCCAAGAGUUCCAUACCUCGUCGUUGCCUGUUUCUAUCAAGGUUUUCGGAACAGCUAGGCCUGUAAAUCUGAUCUUCUUGGUCUUACCAACGACUUUCUUUAAGAAGUUGCAUAAAGUUUUGUUGAAUGCUUCUGCGAGGUCAUUGGUUGGGGCAUGAUACAUGAAAGACUUGUGCUGCUUGAACUUGUAUUUCUUACAGAGCUCGUCCAUGAGUCUAUUAGAGAACUGUUUUCCAUUGUCUGUGAUGAUGUAGCAAGGCACACCAUAUUGGUGGAUGAUAUGCUCAUUUAUGAAACGGGCAAUAGUUUCCUUCUGAAGUAAUUUGUUGCAGCUAGGAUGUAAGCUUCUCCUGCAGAUGACUUUGGUGAAAUUGGUCCUAUGACGUCCAAUUCCUAUGCAUCGAACGACCAUGAAGCAACUGUAGGGUGUAAUGGCUUAGGUGGUUGAUGUAUGAAGUUGGCAUGGAAUUGGCAGGGUUGACACAUUUUGGCGUGUUCUAGGCAAUCCUUCACCAUGCUUGGCCAGUAAUAACCCAUUCUUUUGAGCUGGAAAUGUAGCUUUGGUUCAGACUGAUGCGCCCCGCAUACACUUGAGUGUGCUUUUUCCAUGGCUUGAUUGGCUUCUUCCUCACCUAGGCAUCUCAGAAGUACUCAUUCAAAAAAACGUCGGUAGAGUGUUCCUUUGUAGUAGAGGAAGCGAGGUGCUCGUCGACGUAUUUCGGAGCGGUGUCUAGGAUCAUCUAGAAGCUUUCCAUGCUCCAAGUAGUCGAUCAGCGGUUGUCUCCACUCUUCAGCGUCGACUGGAAGUACUGAGAUGACAUUUGUAUCAUCCAGUAGCAUUUCAGUGAAGAGCGGGAUCAUUUAUCUUUGGCAGACUAGCACGUCUGCAGCUUCAUCUUCUCCUAGUGCCAUACUCGAAGCUAGGUCAGCGAGAGCAUCGACCAUUUGAUUUUCUUUUCUUGGCACAUGUUCCAGUGUCAUGGCCUCGAACUUUUGUAGCAGUUGAGUUGCCAGCCGGAAGUAUGGGACGAGAUCAUUCUUUCUUAAUUCAUAUUAAGUCAAAAGUUAAUUGAUUAUGAGCUUGAAGUCGCCAUAUACUUAUAGGGUUGUGAUUUCCAUGUUGAUCGUCAUUUGGAGUCCGAUGAUCAGUGCUUGGUACUCAGCGACGUUGUUAGAGCAUAGCUUGAUUAGUUGGAAGGAAUAGGGUAGUACUUGUCUUUGUGGCGACAUGAAUACUACUCCUGCCCCCGCUCCGUCAUUUCGUGCGGAUCCAUUGAAAAACAUUGUCCAUGUCGGGAAGAUAUCGAUGUAGAAUACCUCCUCGUUAGGCAAGUCAUAUGAGAUUUCCAAUCGGCUGAGAUUGGAUGUUCGGCAAGGAAGUUUGCUAGCGCUUGUCCUUUGAAGGCUUUAGCUGGGACGUAGAUGAUCUCGUAUUGGUUGAGAAGCAAUGCCCAUUUAGCUAGACGUCCUGCCAAAACUGGUUUGGACAUGACGUAUUUGACUGGGUCAGCUUUAGUAACCAAGUGGAUGGUGUAAACAUGCAUGUAAUGUCUGAGCUUCUGAAUGGCAAACACCAAGGCAAGACACAUCUUUUAUAUCGCGGAGUAGUUCAACUCAGCGCUGGUGAGAGCUCGACUGAGGUAGUAAAGUGCUUAUCCUUUCUAGGAUUCAUUUUCUUGUGCCAAGAGUGUUCCAACUGAACUUUCCUGAGUGACGAUGUACAAUAUGAGCGACUUCUCGGGCAUAGGCGCCCCCAGGACAGGUGGACUUGAUAAAUACCUUUUUAUGCUUUCAAGCAUCCAACCUUCCAAAUUUCCAUGAAUCCCGAAAGAUUGAGAAAGCUCUCUUUGUUCUUCGUCAAAUCCUUAGAGAAACAUUCAUCAAGAUCAAGCUCCGAAGGCCCUUGAAGAUCCGUCCAUCAAGAUCAAGCCCAACGGCCCUUGAAGAAAUCCACGUAACUGUUCAUCAAGAUCAAGCACAACGGCCCUUGAAGAAAUCCACACAACUAUUCAUCAAGAUCAAGCGCCGAAGGCCCAUGAAGAUUCGUUCACCCUCGUUCAUCAAGAUCAAGCACAAUGGCCCUUGAAGAAAUCCACACAACUUUCAUCAAGAUCAAGCCCCAAAGGCCCUUGAAGAUCUGUUCAUCCUAAGAUCAAGCCCUGAUGGCCCUUUGGAUCAACAACAUCAACAAAUAUGCACUAAUGUUCAUCCCUAGAUCAAAGCCCAACAACUCUUUGGAUCAACAACCCAUCCAUAAAUUUACACCUUACGAAGAUAGAAUAAGAUGAUCAAAUUGUAAAAGAGAUUGUAACCCCAAAAUUAAUACAAAAUAUUAUUUUGUACACGUGUUCUUGUUUCAUUCAUCGCAGGAAAAUUCGUGAUUACAAAUUUGGCACGGCCAGUAGGACCAUCUCUACCUUUCAUCUCUAUCUUCAAAUCCACAAAAGGCACAAAUGACGUUGAGGAAGGUUCAAGCUGUUCCCGUAACCAACGCGGAGAACAAGAACUUCCUCGCCGCAAGUGGUGGCACUUUGGGCAUCACAACUCGAAGCCAGGCAAGAGCUUUUUCCGCCGUCUUUUCCACCCCUGCAUCAACUCUGCCAACGGAACAAGAGCACUCGAGGCACGAGCCCCUGAUCACCCUAGCCUCGCUAAGUGCGCCGAGGAAGGAAAGCCCGAGAAGGUACUCCGAGUCCUUGCUCUUCGAUGCCGAUUUGAGUAGCAGCUCAACCAUGCAAGUCAUGACCAUUGGGACGACUUCAAUCGAGGAGCAACUAACUCAAAUGAAGGAAGCCAUUGCAAGGCUCACAAGGACCGCGAAGGAGAAAGACUUGCAAAUCGUCGCACUCGUAAACCAACAUAGGUACAAAAACAUCUUAAGGGAACUGGAGCAGAAGACAUACCCUUUUUCGGAUCUGACAUGGCCGCAAUGCUAGAUGACUUGUUAGAGAAUAAGGUCAUCGAGUUGCUUGAAUGUAAGCGUCCGGAAGAGAUGAAUCGUGUUAACAAUCCCAGGUACUGCAAGUACCAUCGUAUCGUAAGUCAUCCCGUUGGCAAGUGCUUCAUCCUCAAGGAACUCAUCAUGAAGCUGGCACAACAAGGGCGAAUCGAACUUGACCUAGAAGACACAACCGCAACGCACACUACUACGAUUGUGUUUGGAUCAUUUGAUCUCGUGCCUCUUCAAGUGAUGCAUGACCAUUCCCGUCAAUGCUCAAAUCACACGUCACCUUUUACACAACCAUCACUAGGGCAAGCAACCAAGAACACCUACUAACGAUGAUGAAGGAUGGACCUUGGUGACCGCUAAAAAGACAAGGAAGCCAAUACUGCAAGCCACAAAGCUGAAGGUGGAGUAAGGGAGAAAGCACCGCUGUCAUAACAAUAGGAAGCCCAAAAGAAACAUAAAAGUUGCUAAGCCAACAUACGUUGGGAGAUAUAACCCGAUUAGUGUUGUAAUAAAGAGACACAAAAUCCGAACAAUCCUCUUUAACCACCCGACUAGGGCGAGCGUGCUUUCUCAAUGUACCUUAGAUAGUUUUUUGGACCAAAUCGCAAGAAAUGGCACUCGGCAGAGAAUGCUGGGCAGUGAGAGCAAUUCAUAAUUUUGAUCUCUGGUUAUGACUCAUUCUUUCUCCCUGUUUUCCUUAGGCGUGAGAUCAAAGGAUCCAAACACAAUCAUAGUAGUGUGCGUCGUGGCCGUGUCUUCUAGGUCGAGUUCAGUUCCCCCUUGUUGUGCCAGCUUCAUGAUGAGUUCCUUGAGGAUGAAGCACUUGCUGACGGGAUGACUUAUGCUACGAUGGUACUUGCAGUGCUUGGGAUCGUUAACGCAAUUCAUCUCUUCGGGAUGCUUGCAUUCAAGCAGCUCGAUGACCUUUUUCUUUAACAGGUCGUUUAGCAUUGCGGCCAUGUAAGAGUUCGAAAAAGGGUACGUCUUCUGCUUUAGUUCCCUCAAGGUGUUUUUGUACCUAUCUUAGGUGUGAGAAGGCUUACCUCUAUUUAUCUCCUUUGCUUUGUUCUUAGAGGAGAUUUUGAUGGGUACAGAUGAGGUUUUGGUAGGGAUAGUGUUGAUGGUAAAAGUUUCCUUGGCGGGCUUCUUCCCAUGAUUGUCCACCUUCGAAGAAAACACCUUGUCCUUCUUGAAGUUAGUGAUUGGCUCUUUUUUUCCAUGAUAGGCGAUGCUCAACUCCAUGUCGUGGGAACGGGUGGUUAACUUUUUGAAGGUCCGCGGUUUGAUGCCUUGAAGGAUGUAGUGUAAUCCUCAUUACAUGCCUUGGAUGCACAUCUCGAUUGAGGAGAUCUUCGAUAGUCUGUCUUUGCAGUCGAGGCUUAAAGUGCGCCACCGGUUGAUGUAGUCAACGACUGGCUCGUCAUUCCAUUACUUCGACUUGUAAGCUCUAGCAUGCUUACAGUGCGGCGGGUGCUGUAGAAGCGGUUCAAGAACUCUUGCUCCAAUUGCUCCCAGCUGCUAAUGGACUCAGGCUCUAGGUCCGUGUACCAGUCGAACGCAUUCCUCUUCAGAGAGCAAACAAACUGCUUUGCGAGGUAGUCUCUUUCAGUCCUUGCGUUGUUACAAGUUUUGACCAAAUAGGCGACGUGUUACUUUGGGUUUCCUUUUCCGUCAAACUGCAAGAACUUUGGCAGAUGAUAACCCCUCAGCAUACGCAAGCUAUCAAUCCUCUUGGUAUAUGGCUUUGAGUACAACAGUACAUCCCGCGAAGUGCCUCCACCUUGUGUUUUGACGGUGUUGGCAAUCAUGUCCUGGGGUUGCUGGAUGGAAAAAGAGCCUAUGAGUGCCGUUGCUUGGUCUGGCUUCUCCUCGACUUUUUCUAUCGGAGGCUCCUCAUCGUCCUCGUCUUCUUUCUAAUGGAUCAACCUUUGGGUCGACUUUCACGUUGUGAUGUGCCUCCAGUUGGUUGACGAGUGCGGCAAUUUGCAAGUCUUUCUUCUCUGCGGUCCUUGUGAGCCUUGCAAUCGCUUCCUUCAUUUGAGCCAACUGCUCAUCGAUUUAAGUCGUCCCGAUGGUCAUAAUUUGCAUGGCUGAGCUGCUGCUUGAGUCAGCAUCAGAGAGCAAGGACUCGGAGUACCUUCUCGGGUUUUCCUCCCUCGGCGCACUUAGUGAGGCCAGGGUGAUCACAGGCUCGUGCCUUGGGUGAUAUUGUUCAUUCGGUAGAGUUGAUGCAGGGGUGGAAGACACGACUGAAAUAGCUCUUACCUUGCUUUGAGUUGUGACGUCUGAAGUGCCACCAUUUUCAGCGAGGAAGUUCUUGUUCUUCGCAUUGGUUGCGGGAAUAGAUUGAACCUUUCUUGACGCCAUUUGUGCCCUUUUGCGGAUUUGAAGAUAAAGAUGAGAGGUAGAGAUGGUUCCACUGGGCGUGCCAAAUUUGUAAACACGAAUUUUCCUGCGAUGAAUGAAACAAGAACACGUGUACAAAAUAAUAUUUUGUAUUAAUUUUGGGAUUACAAUCUCUUUUACGAUUUGAUCCUCUGAUUCUAUCUUUGUAAGGUGUAGAUUUGUGGAUGGGUUGUUAAUCCAAAGGGUUGUCGGGGCUUGAUCUAAGGAUGAACAGUGGUGCAUAUUUGUUGAUGUUGUUGUUCCAAAGGGCUGUCGGAGCUUGAUCUUAGGAUGAACGAAUCUUCAAGGGCUUUUAGGGCUUGAUCUUGAUGAACAGUUGGGUGGAUUUCUUCGAGGGCCGUUGGGGUUGAUCUUGAUGAACGAGGAUGAACAGAUCGUCAAGGGCAUUCGAGGCUUGAUCUUAAUGAACAGUUGUGUGGAUUUCUUCAAGGGUUGUUGGACUUGAUCUUGAUCAACGAGGAUGAACGGAUCUUCAAGGGACUUCGAGGCUUGAUCUUGAUGAACGAUGAACGGAUCUUCAAGGGCAUUCGGGCUUGAUCUUGAUGAACAGUUGUGUGGAUUUCUUCAAGGGCCUUCGGGAUUUGAUCUUGAUGAACAUUUCUCUAAGGAUUUGAUGAAGAACGAAGAGAGCUUUCUCAAUCUUUCAGGAUUCUUGGGAAUUUGGGAGGUUGCAUGCUUGAAAGUUUUAGAGUUUCAAAGCUUCAAGGAUUUGGGGCGGGAAAAUUUCAACGGUUCGGUUCAGUGUGGUUUCGCUUAAAUUUGUUACUAAAAUCGUAGGUUCGGUUUAUGAUGGUUUUGGUUCGGUUCAUGCAGGUUUACGGUUCAUGCCGGUUUACGGUUCUAACCAAAAUUAUAUAUAUGUUUUUUCUAAUUUUCUACUUCUAAUACCAAACACAUAUUUCAACCACAAAUUCAAGUAAAUUUGAGUUUCCACUACUAGAUCUACAAGAUUUGUGACCGGAAGAUAGAGUUUGUGCAUAUAAAUAUAAAUCAAAAUAUAGAAAAGCUUAUAUCAAGACCAAAGUGUAGAUUUUAAACAAAAACUAAAAUGUACAUAAUGCAUAAUAUACUGGAAAAGAAAGGAGAAAAUAAUGUAGAGGGAGAAAAGUGAUAAAACAACAAAGGAGGGGGAGAAAGUGAAGAAAAAUAUUAGGCUUAUGCACAUGGUCUUCUUGGAAAAAUGUCUUGUUUAUAUAAAAAUAAUAAUAAAACAAUAAUUUAUAUUAAAAGCGGUUCGAUCUGGUUCCUCCGGAUCUUAAUAUUUCGAAACCAGAACCGGAACCGUUUGAAACGGUUCGGUUUGAUUUUUGUUCCAGUUUUAACUUUUUUGGUCAACACGGUUUUUUACGGUUUUUUUUGUCACGGUUCGAUUCGAUUCGAUUCGAUUUUCCGGUUUGGCGGUUUUUAUGCCCACCCCUAGUUGAAGGUUAUCCAUGAAGAAAAGAUAUCCCUACUUGUUUGUACCAUACUUGACCAAUCCCGAAACUACUGAGCAUCGGUCAACAUUAUACCGUCAAGGACCCAGAAGAGCUUCCCUUCAACCAGGAGGCCAAUCACAAUGCAACACGUGUCGACAUCAGAAGCCAAUCACAGCGCGACACGUGUCAACAUCAGAAGCCAAUCACAACACGACACGUGUCAAUGUCAGAACAAAACUAGAAACUCUCUUCUAUAAAUAGGGAUCAUUCUCCCACAAUAAUCUCUAAUGUCAUUUUGUACUAAACUAUUCGCUUGGUUGCUUCGGUCACUAGUGAGGCUAAGUAUGUAAAUGAAUAGAGACAGAGAAGCAAACACAAGAUAUACGUGGUUCACCCAGAUUGGCUACGUCCACGGAGUAGAGGAGUUCUCAUUCAUUAUGAAGGGUUUACACAAAUACAUAGGUUCAAGCUUUCCUUUUGUGAGUUUUAGUGAAUAGUUUAGUACAAAAUGACAUUAGAGAUUAUUGUGGGAAAAUGAUCCUUAUUUAUAGAAGAGAGUUUCUAGUUUUGUUCUAACAUUGACACGUGUCGUGUUGUGAUUGGUUUCUGAUGUUGACACGUGUCACGCUGUGAUUGGCUUCUGAUGUCGACACGUGUCACACUGUGAUUGGCCUCUUGGUUGAAGGGAAGCUCUUCUGGGUCCUUGACGGUAUAACGUUGACCGGUGCUCAGUAGUUUCGGGAUUGGUCAAGUAUGGUACAAACAGUGCUCCCCUAAGUUCCCGAGUGAGGGAAGCUCCUCGGUUGGGGACCUGAAAAAUCCAAGUCACUGAGUGGUUCUGAGACUUCCGAGUAUCAAGGUGCAGUAGCAUAUGGUGGGAGUCCCCCAAGUCUUCAGGCGAGGAGAGUUGCCGAAUGAGGUGUCUUGCUUGCUACUAAUUUGUCAAAGUAACGAAGCCUUGUUUUGAUGUCACACCUUCAUAUAUGCCUUAUCCAAAAAUAUUUCAAGCUGGUUUUAGCUUUGCGAGGGCCCAAAAUUUUUGUGUAGCCCAAAACUGCUCAUUUGUUUUCAAGCCCACGAAAAGAGGGGAUCCAGUGCAUUUGUUCAUUUUUUAUUUGGUUGGCAAGCCCAAAGAGGAGAAGAGGUCUGUGCCCACUCCCCUUUAUUUAUUUUAUUUUAUUUUUUUUGUGAAGCCUAAUGCUUUCUUGCUUCAUGUCGGGAGGUAGAGAAAUAAUAACAAUGAGACUCAAAGUUUCAUCCCUUUGCCUGUGUCUUCUUCCCCAUUUCCCUGGAUUGUUCUCAAUAUGGCACUGUUCAUUUAUUCCUUUUGUCCGUCACUUUUUGUGGCCUUUAGCUUUUCUUUUGCUUUGCCUUUUCCUUUCUUUGCUGGAAAGGUUUUCAUUUCCACUAAAAAUCUGAAUUAUUCCAAAGCCAUGUUGCAGGAAAUGUGGGUGUUGGAGCCAAGGAAGUGAAGGAGGGAGUUAACGUAGAGGGAGCGGUAGCUCUUCAAUAUAACACCAUUCUUUGUAGCUCAAAUCGCAAGGUUGUCUUCAUGAAAAUUGUUCCUUAGCUUGUGAACUACAACAUAUCCAAAUUUGAGAUCCAUCGGAGUAGUACAACUCCAGAUAUUCAGGUAUGAUGAGUGACUGUUCAUCAUUUUUCUGUUAACCCGUCAGACUUAUUGUGAGCUUCGAAACUUCAUGUUCUCUUGUUCAGAUCAACAUACUUUCUUCAUCGAAGUUUUUCCUCACCUAGAUCCAGGUUGAGGGUGAGUUGUUUGUCGUUCUCACUCUACAUGUAGUUCUGGAUUCGGUAUGUUGCUUGCUCAAGCUCAACCGGGACAACUGCUUCUGUACCAAAAGCAAGUGAGAAUGGAGUUUCUCCUGUGGAAGUCCGAUAUGAAGUGCGGUAUGACCAAAGAACUUGGGGUACGAAUUUUGGCCAACAACCUUUAGCUUUGUCCAAGCUAGUUUUCAGAGUGCGCUUGAUUAUUUUGUUAACGGCCUCAACUUGUCCAUUAAACUGGGGAUGGGCUGGAGAGGCAAAACAUAAGUUGAUGUUGAACUUAGAGCAGAACAUCCUGAACUUCUUGUUGUUGAACUGUCGCUCAUUGUCCGUGACUAUCGCAUUGGGAAUGCCGAAUCUGCAGAGGAUGUUCUUCCAUACGAAGUCUUGUAUUUUUUCCUCAGUAAUGGUUGCCAAGGGUUCUACUUCAACCCACUUUGUGAAGUAGUCAACUGCAACGAUUGCAUAGCGGACCUUGCCCUUCCCUGCAGGCAUUGGGCCGAUCAAAUCAAGUCCCCAUUGGGCGAAGGGCCAAGGGCUGAUCAAAUCAAGUCCCCAUCUAUCAAAUUUCUGCAACUCAUGCUCUUCCUCAGUGGAGCUGAAUUUUGGACAUCUUAUAGUUCUUGAGCAGAUGAACAACUUUCACGAAGGAAAUGUUUCUAUUUGAGUGACGGAAGUUAGAGUGUUGAAGCUUCAAACAUGACGGUCAGAUUUCUGCAAGCUUCAAAGCUGCUGCGGUGUUUCGAAGAUCUGGAGAUAUUCAACCGUUAGUUUGUUCUGAAUUUUUGAUAUGUUAAGGAAGAGAUGAUGAGGCACAACUUCGAUGAAGAAAGUAUGUUGAUCUGAACAAGAGAAAAUGAAGUUUCGAAGCUCACAAUAAGUUUGACGGGUUAACAGAAAAAUGAUGAACAGCUACUCAUCAUACCUGACUUUCUGAAUUUUUACUGCUCCGACGGAUCUCAAAUUUGGAUAUGUUGUAGUUCACAAGGUGAGGAAAAACUUCAAUGAAGAAAGUAUGUUGAUCUAAACAAGAGAACAUGAUGUUUCGAAGCUCAUAAUCAGUCUGACGGGUUAACAGAAAAAUGAUGAAUAGUCACUCAUCAUACCUGAGUAUCUGGAGUUGUACUACUCCGAUGGAUCUCAAAUUUGGAUAUGUUGUAUUUCACAAGCUAAGGAACAAUUUUCAUGAAGACAACCUUGCGAUUUGAGCUACAAAGAAUGGUGUUAUAUUGUAGAGCUACCGCUCCCUCUACGUUAACUCCCUCCUUCACUUCCUUGGCUCCAACACCCAUAUUUCCUUCAACAUGGCUUUGGAAUAAUCCAGAUUUUUAGUGGAAAUGAAAACCUUUCCAACAAAGAAAGGAAAAGGCAAAGCAAAAGAAAAGCUAAAGGCCACAAAAAGUGACGGACAAAACGAAUAAAUGAACAGUGCCAUAUUGAGAACAGUCUAGGGAAAUGGGGAAGAAAACACAGGCAAAGGGAUGAGACUUUGAGUCUUAUUGUUAUUAUUUCUCUACCUCCCGACAUGAAGCAAGAAAGCAUUGGGCUUCACAAAAAAAAAAAAUACAAUAAAUAAAGGGGAGUAGGCACAUACCUCUUCUCCUCUUUGGGCUUGCCAACCAAAUAAAAAAUGAACAAAGGCACUGGAUCCCCUCUUUUCGUGGGCUUGAAAACAAAUGAGCAGUUUUGGGCUACACAAAAAUUUUGGGACCUCGCAAAGCUAAAACCAGCUUGAAAUAUUUUUGGAUAAGGCAUAUAUGAAGGUGUGACAUUAAAACAAGGCUUCGUUACUUUGACAAAUUAGUAGCAAGCAAGACACCUCAUUCGGCAACUCUCCUCGCCUGAAGACUUGGGGGACUCCCACCAUAUGCUAUUGCACCUUGAUACUCGGAAGUCUCACAACCACUCAGUGACUUGGAUUUUUCAAGUCUCCAACCGAGAAGUUUUCCUCACUCGGGAAAUUAAGGGAACACUACCUCAAACUACAUACUUCACUCACAAAGCUUCAACAAUACAAGUUUCAACAAAAGAAAAAAUUCAGAGAACUUUCUGAAGAAGGCUUUGGUGUAUUUAACAUAAUACGUUGAAAUGAAGCAAAACUUAUUUAUUAAUAUUUUCGAUAAGCUACAAAUAUGUACAUAUACAUGAGUCAAAAUAAACAAACAAGAAGGAGCCUUCACAAAGGUUGCUUAGGGGAAGUCUCAGCAUUCGGUAGAGCCCCAGAAGGAGAAAGCACCGGAGGGUGGUUAUCCGGAGCCUCAGUACUGGACAGAACCCCAGAAGGAGGAGGUAUUGGAGGUUGAUCAUUUGGAGCUUCAUUAUGCGGUACAGCCCCAGAAGACGAAGGCAAUAAAUGCCUUUGGAACAAACCUACAAACCUUUGAUGAUCAAGUAAAGCCUGACCAUCAGAUUCCUGCAUCUGGUCAAGCUUCAUCUUCAUAUUUGUAGCAUAGUCAUGCGCGAGCCUGUGCAACUAUUUAUUCUCAUGCUUGAGCCCUCUAAUCUCCUGUUUGAGACUUAUCACUUCAGCCGCCAAUGAUUCAACUUGGCGGGUUCUAGCAAAUAGGCGUUGGGCCAUAUUAGACACAGAACCUGCACAUUGAACACUGAGAGCCAGAGAAUCCUUAACAGCCAACUCAUCAGACCGUUUGGAAAGUAGUCUGUUAUCUUUGGGAGUGAGAAUGUUCCUGGCCACCACCGUAGCGGUCAUAUCAUUCUUCAUCACGGAGUCCCCAACGGUAAGAGGACCAGUAGGGGAUAAGAAAGAGGGGCGCCAUAUGUUGUCUUGAGAAGGCAUCCAUGCCUCAUCACCAAAGUUCAAGUCAAAACGACGGUCGGAUGGGCCAGACAUUCUCAGAAAUGAUGAAGGAGAAUGAGGUGCAAUAAAUCUCUGAAGUAAGGGGAAAAUUCCUAUAAGCAAUAACUCUCUGAAUGUACUUCUUACACACAAUUGGUGCCCUUAUAAAACGAAAGGCAACAGGGUCGUUGGUUCAAAAAUCAAAGAAUCAUUACUCUCCGGAUUCCGAAGAGGCACCACUCUCUACACUCAACAUCAACUCCUCGGGUACCACAUAUAACUUUGCCAAAGAUCUCUGACAAAGUUUAGGCAUGAGAAUUUCGAAGUUCCAGCUACCCUACUAUUACCCACAAGGGUAAAGGAACAGCACCACUGCUUGACAACUGGAAAGUCCCUAUGUGUGUCGACCUCCGUGUUCCGUGGCAAGACAGACUGGCAAGAACGUCCAACCUUUACUCACAUUCGAGAAAAGACUUCCAACAUAAAUACUUUCUCAAAAACCGAAAUGGCGCCGCUCUUCGAAUCUCGAGAGCCAGACUCCCAACAUACUUUCUUAAAAACCGAAGCGGCACCAUUUUCCGAAUCUCAAGAGCCAGAUCCCCGAUGGGAUUGCUUGUUCGAAAACCGAAGAGGCACAACUCUCAGAACUUCGAGAGCCAGAUUUCCUUAGAUAAAGCUUGUCUGUAAUCUUCACACGCAACAUCAGCUUUCCAGAUACCACAUACCACUUUUUCAAAGUGCGCUGACAAAGUUAAAACACGUGAAGCUGGCAGCUCCCACUACAUUGCUGUGACCAAGAAGGAUAAAGGAAUAGCAUUACUACUUGCUAUUGGGAAAUCCCUAUAUAUGUCGAUCUCCCUCCUCCACAGACAGGCAAACCUGCAAAAAUGCUCAACUCUUUCUCGCAUUUGAGAAUGCACUCUCAACAUAACCUCUCGAAAUACUCAGCUUUAUUUCCCCCCGAUAAUACUUCAGCAAAUAAGCCACACCAAGAACAAGAGUAUCUCAUAUCACCAGGGUCAAAAACAAGAGUAUCCCAUAUCAUGAUUUCUCCAUGUCCUUGUCUUUGUCCUUGUCCACACCUGCAGGACAAGGAGAAAGAGAGCAGUCAGUCGGAACCUGAAAUCAAACCUCCAAUCUGGAACUGACUGCCUGGGACCUUUGCCUGGUUGCUUACUUAGCAUUGCUCUCGAGUACUCAUCCUCAACUGCUAUCAAGGUCAUGAAUUCCUCCGGCAAAUACCUCAUGACAGUUGAUCAGAUAUUGGCUCUUUACACUGAAGCUGCCAAGCGUGGAUGAGUCACUAUGAAUGAAUGUUCUGAAUGACCAUUUAAAUGCAAAGGUUGCACACCACUUCUGCCAUGCAAAAGAUUGAAGCAGAAGGUUCAACGAUGAGCUGAAACAGAUCACUACAGCACGACACCUUUCCAUACCACAUUCACAAUUCUGUUAACAGCAAGAGUAUCCCAUAUCAUCAGGGUUGAUCAUACUCUAGAUUUGAUGGACUUGUUUUGACCCUCAAAUUCUUGAGUCGACUCACUAAGGCGUCGUGAACUGCACGUGCCGAUUCACCACUCUUGAAUCAAAUCCUUAAAGAUCAAGCUACCAACGGUCUUGAAGAUAUCACAAGCCCGAUUCAAGAUCAAGUGUCCACCACCCUGAAUCAAAUCCAGUUCAAGAAUAAACCUGUGGAAAGUUACUUCUUCAAAAGCAAAAGUAUUUCAUAUCAUCUCUUCUCAUUUUUCUUCCCUUUAUCCUUCAUGCUGCCUGCAAGAUAGGGAGAAUGAGAACAAUCAGCCGGAACUCGAAAUCACAUAUCUGAUCUAGGACUGAUUGCUUGGAGCUCUAAUUGCUUACCUUGUCUGCCACCUCUUUCGACAGAUCUCUUAGCUCGGCGACUUGGGGGACUCCUACUACAUGGUUUGUAUCGCGUUUGACCAAGCCUAAAACUACAAGUAAGCUUCAAGUGAAAAUGAUACAUUACCUUGUGCAUCUCCACCGGUUAAAGACACCACCCCUGAAUGGAGGAAGCGUACUUCCAGAGAAGAUGCCACAUCUACCUAUGAGAAAGAUAAGGCAAGUGAAGACGAUACCACACCUCGGUACUUAGAAGUUUCGUGAUUACUCAGCGGCUUGGAUCUUGCAAGUCCCCAACCGAGGAGCUUCCCUCACUCGGGAACUUAAGGGAGCACUGUUUGUACCAUACUUGACCAAUCCCGAAACUACUGAGUACCGGUCAACGUUAUACCGUCAAGGACCCAGAAGAGCUUCCCUUCAACCAGGAGGCCAAUCACAAUGCGACACGUGUCGACAUCAGAAGCCAAUCACAGCGCGACACGUGUCAAUGUCAGAACAAAACUAGAAACUCUCUUCUAUAAAUAGGGAUCAUUCUCCCACAAUAAUCUCUAAUGUCAUUUUGUACUAAACUAUUCACUAGAACUCACAAAAGGAGAGCUUGAACCUAUGUAUUUGUGUAAACCCUUCACAAUGAAUGAGAACUCCUCUACUCCGUGGACGUAGCCAAUCUGGGUGAACCACGUAUAUCUUGUGUUUGCUUCUCUGUCUCUAUUCAUUUACAUACUUAUCCUCACUAGUGACCGAAACAACCAAGCGAAGGUCACAAAACCUGACACUUUCUGUUGUACCAAAGUCCUCACUGAUUUUGUGCAUCAACACUACUAAUCCCCCCAAAAAAAAUAGGACUAAAAGGGACAACUUUUGUUCAUGAGUAACCUCAUCGUGGACAAAAUAAGGAAAUUAUCAUCUAUUUCUUCCUCCAAAAUGCCUUCAAUGUAGUGAAUAGUGCUACCCAAACCAAUCCUUUUUAACAAUCGAGGCCUUAGAGUUUUAUUUUGUUAUCAAGGUAUUUUAGAGUUUUACUUUACCUUUAGUUAGAAGUUCAAUUAUUAUUAUGCUUCGCCAAAAGUUGUAUUGUAUAUUUGUCUUAUAAUUCUUUAGAAUCCAUGGAAAAAAUAGUUUCUGUAAUCCAAACCAUAUUACGGAGGUCCCCAAAUAUAAGGGAAAAACAAAUGCAUCCCGGAAAAAAAUUAAAUUAAAAAGAAUGGCACAACAUGUACUUACUACAAGUGUUAGUCAUAUGAUUCAACAAGCCACAUGGUUCUCCAUCAGGUGUAUGCACAGGGCAAUUUCCGCACACUUGUGGUGCGCAGUCCAGCGAAUGAUGCCCCUCGAUGAACAGCACGAAAAUGAGAUAAGAAACGUAAAUAGUUAAGCCUCUCUGACUGAACCGUCAAGCCUGCCCUCUAAAAAUAUAUGUAAAGCACAUAAAAAUCAUAAGCAAGCAUCCAAAUAAUUAUAAAGAUAGCCUACUUGUAAACUUGAAUAUCACAUAUGAGAUAAGAUUCAUAUAUAAAGAAGCGGCCACGUUCUGGGCAAGUUUCGCUUGUGAAUAGCAAACCUCUUCCUACAAAAUUUAUGACAUGAAAAAGUUCAAGCAUAACCAAUAAGCCAUAC